UUUUAUAUCCAAUUCCAAAUGAUUCUUGAGGCUCUCAUUUUGGUAUUCCUUUAUGGUUUCUGGAAAAUCUUAGCCAGAAAUAGUGAAAGCAAAAAAUCAACCAGAGCCCCUGAACCAUCCGGGGCAUGGCCGUUAUUUGGUCACCUCCCUAGUCUGGUUGGCAAAGACCCAGCAUGUAAAACCCUUGGAGCCAUUGCCGAUAAAUAUGGCCCUAUUUACUCACUCAAGUUCGGCAUUCAUCGAACCCUAGUGGUCAGUAGUUGGGAAACAGUGAAGGAUUGCUUAAACACCAAUGACAGAGUUUUGGCUACCAGAGCAGGCAUAGCAGCAGGGAAACAUAUGUUUUAUGACAACGCAGCUUUUGCAUUAGCCCCGUAUGGACAGUAUUGGCGAGAUGUCCGAAAGCUGGCCACUCUUCAGCUUCUAUCAAAUCAGCGGCUUGAAAUGCUCAAGCAUGUCCGUGUGUCAGAAGUAGACACAUUCAUCAAAGGUUUGCACAGUUUUUAUGCAGGAAAUGUGGGCUCCCCUGCGAAGGUGAAUAUAAGCAAAUUGUUGGAAAGCUUGACGUUCAACAUAAACCUUAGAACAAUAGUCGGGAAGCGAUAUUGCAGCAGCACAUAUGACAAGGAGAACAGCGAGCCCUGGCGUUACAAAAAAGCCAUAAAAAAAGCCUUGUAUCUGAGUGGGAUUUUUGUAAUGUCGGAUGCGAUUCCAUUUCUUGAAUGGCUUGAUUACCAGGGGCAUGUAAGUGCCAUGAAGAAGACUGCCAAGGAACUUGAUGCCGUGAUACGAAAUUGGCUGGAAGAACAUCUUAAGAAAAAAAAAGAUGGCGAAUUGGGAAGCGAUCGUGAGAGCGACUUCAUGGACGUGAUGAUCUCUAACCUUGCCGAAGGUCCUGAUAAGAUUUCUGGCUAUUCGCGUGAUGUUGUCAUCAAGGCAACAGCUUUGGUACGUUUCCCAACUGUAAGCCUUUAGUACCUCUUUUUUUUUUGGGCUGGCAGGUGAGGGGGAGCACCGCAGAGACCUUCCAGUCUCCUACCAAUUGCGCUAGCGUUCAGGUGGUAAUUGACUUGCAAAUAUUUUCAUUUUCACACGUUUUGUUGUAAUUUUGCAGAUUCUGACUCUCACAGGAGCAGGAAGCACAGCAACUACAUUAGUUUGGACGCUGUCCCUAUUGCUAAACAACCCGGCCGUGCUAAAGACUGCUCAAGAAGAGCUGGACAAGCAAGUAGGAAGAGAAAGAUGGGUGGAAGAAUCAGAUAUACAGAACCUCAGGUACCUCCAAGCAAUUGUGAAAGAAACCCUGCGCUUAUACCCUCCAGGCCCCUUAACAGGAAUACGUGAGGCCAUGGAAGAUUGUUCUAUUGGUGGCUAUGAUGUUCCUAAGGGCACUCGACUAGUAGUAAACAUAUGGAAGCUGCAUCGAGACCCUCGUGUGUGGAAAAACCCAAACGAGUUUAAACCUGACAGGUUCUUGACAACCCAUGCUGAUCUUGAUUUUAGGGGUCAAAAUAUGGAGUUCAUUCCUUUUAGCUCGGGGAGAAGAUCUUGCCCUGCCAUAAAUCUUGGCUUGAUAGUGGUUCAUCUGACACUUGCUAGGAUCCUUCAGGGUUUUGAUUUAACAACUGUUGCAGGCUUGCCUGUGGACAUGAUUGAAGGCCCAGGCAUUGCCUUGCCGAAGGAGACCCCUCUCGAAGUUGUCAUUAAACCACGCCUAGGAUUGGAGCUCUACUAGGUAUCAAUGCCUUUGUCUUCACCACCACAUAUAUACAUCAAUAAAAAAAAGUUGAUUUAGGCAUGUUAACAAGUCAAGCGUAUGAGCUUGCGUCAGAUUAUAUGCUACUAUGCUAUGUAAUGAAGCGAAUACCAACAAAUGUCUGAUUUGUGGUGUUGGCUAUGAAUAUAAUGCCCUUUUCUUUUGAUUUUUAUUUGGCCUUUCUUACCUUUUUUUUUUUUUUAUUAACCUGAGUGUUCAGGUUAGCUUGCGCGUACCUCGAUUAAUUUUACGAGACGUGAAGUUAAUGACUAUGUAAACCUCCAAUGGAUUUGAGAUUUAUGAGAUUUGAAAUGGUAAUUUCUAGAAAACAUAUUCAAAAUCUAACUAAUUAGGUAAAAGAAGAGCCAAAAGAAAAAUCUUGUGCUUUUAGCUUUUUUUUUUUUUUUUUUUUAUGUCAACUCUAACGGGUAGCUAAACUCACAAAUAAAAUAGUUGUUGAGUACGGUAAAAGCUAUUUCUAUCUUUUUCUGUAGCGAAAGGCAUAUGAAGACGUUGACAACCGUAUUUUUCUCUGUUGACUUAUAUCCGUUGGCCAACGUAUUCAUUUUAUAUCCGUUAGCCAACGUUAAUGUUUUUCAUUUAAAAGCAGAACCAACCGAAGGAAGAAGACAACAUUUAAGCAAAAACAGAAGGAAAAAAAACUUACCUGCAAAUUUCACCCUUCUCUUUGAUUUAGAAAACAAGAAUUAAUUGUUCUCCGGUUAAUUAAUAACAUCGAUUGUGUUAAUUAGCUGAAAUCAAAAGGUAUGUUUGCUUAAAGACUUUUUCUAUUUUUAUUAUUUUUUUGCAUCUCUUGAUUUUUAUUUGCUAUUUGUAAUGAUUUUUAUUUCUUUGUUAUUUUAUGUUUUUGAUCUGGGUUAAGGAAGACAAUUUUUAUUUAUGUUAUUAUCUUUGACAAAAUUGAAAGGAAGUAAUGAUGGUAGCUGAUAUUGAUAAAAAUAGCUGUUGAGUACGGUAAAAGCUAUUUCUAUCUUUUUCUGUAGCGAAAGGCAUAUGAAGACGUUGGCAACCGUAUUUUUCUCUGUUGACUUAUAUCCGUUGGCCAACGUAUUCAUUUUAUAUCCGUUAGCCAACGUUAAUGUUUUUCAUUUAAAAGCAGAACCAACCGAAGGAAGAAGACAACAUUUAAGCAAAAACAGAAGGAAAAAAAACUUACCUGCAAAUUUCACCCUUCUCUCUGAUUUAGAAAACAAGAAUUAAUUGUUCUCCGGUUAAUUAAUAACAUCGAUUGUGUUAAUUAGCUGAAAUCAAAAGGUAUGUUUGCUUAAAGACUUUUUCUAUUUUUAUUAAUUUUUUGCAUCUCUUGAUUUUUAUUUGCUAUUUGUAAUGAUUUUUAUUUCUUUGUUAUUUUAUGUUUUUGAUCUGAGUUAAGGAAGACAAUUUUUAUUUAUGUUGUUAUCUUUGACAAAAUUGAAAGGAAGUAAUGAUGGUAGCUGAUAUUGAUAAAAGCAUGGAGUGACAUAGAUGGUAGCUGAUAUUGAUAAAAGCAUGGAGUGACAUAUCUUAUUUUAUUUUUGAUUGUCUAUUUUAAUUUUAGAUCAAUUAUAUUUUGUCUUGUUAAAAAUACAACUAAACCAAGUGAUUAGAUUAAUUGUAUGAUUAGAUUAAUGUUAGAACAAGUAGAAGGCAAUUCUUAUUAUUAAUUCACAUGUAUGGAAACUACAAAAUUGCUAGACAUUGAAUGUGAGCUUCCUUUACACCUUUUUAUAAGGUUUUAACUUGAGUUUUUUUUUUUUUUAAUGUAGAUGGAUUCAAAUUUUCCAAGCUCUUUUACCAAUUUUCUUAUGAGCGAGUCAGAAGAUAUUCUCCCUCAACCAAGUGAUUCUAAUCAAUUAAUUAAUGACUUAACAUACUCGAAUUUAAAUGUCAAUACAAUAAAAAAAUCACAAAGAAGUUAAAACUUCUCACCAGAAAAAAAUUGUUUACUUGUCUCUGCAUGGUUAAAUACAAGAAAGGAUCAAAUUACAGGAGUUGAACAACAAACAAAACAAUUCUGGGCUCGUGUACAUACUUACUUUGCAGAGAAUGGAGCAAACUUGAAUAAUCGUUCCCAAAUAAGCAUCUCAAGUAGAUGGCAAGAAAUAAAUAGAGAAGUCGGUAAAUUUGUUGGAUUUUUCACUCAAAUUGAAAAUCAUCAGUAAAGUGGAAUGACCAAAGAAUAAAGGGUAAUUUUAAUAUUCAUUUCCAUGUUAAAUUAUUUAACACAUAUUUUAACAUUAUUUAAUUUAUUUAUUUAACACAUAUUUUUACAUUAUUUAAUUAAUUCAUUUUUUUACCAGAUUAAUGAUGCUCGGCAAAUGUAUGCUUCUUGCGUUGGCAAACGAUUUCAACUAGAAUAUUGUUGGGUUAUCUUAAGAAAAGAACCGAAAUGGCAAUUUAAGCGUGCAAGUUAACAUCAAAUGUCAAAUAAGAAACAAAAAAGUCAUGUCAAUGCAAGUCCAGCUUCAUCAACUCCAUCUACCCCUGAUUCUGCUAGUUUAGGAGAAGAUAGUGAACCAUUGAUUUAUCAAGAUUGACCAAUUGGUCAGAAGGCUGCAAAGGAACGACUUAAACAUAGACAAGGAAAAGAUAAAGUUAGGGAGGUAACUGUAACAAAUCUCUUACAACAAUUCAGGGAUACUCUAGUUGAAAUUGAGGAUCAGAAGAAACAAGACAGGAAAAUUCUGUUAGAGCAAUAAGCCAUGAUGAUUCAACAAAGUCAAGAGAAACAAGAAUUGGACAAGAUUGAGAAAGAAGAACAAAUUAUGAAAAUAGAUAUUUCUAAUUUGGAUCCAAUUUCUGCAACGUAUUUUCAAAAUAGAAAGUUAGAAAUUAUGAAAAAGAGGGGUUUAAUUUUUAUUUAACUUUGAUUGAUUUAUUGUAAUGUAAUGUAUUUUUAAUUAAAUAUGUAGAAAAUUAUUGGUUAUUUUAAAUAUAUUGUUAUGAAAUUGAUAUCAAUUCAUAAUACUUUUUUGAAGUUCCUCUAACACUUAACAAUAAUCAGUAGGAUUAAUUAACUUAAAAGAUAACAACCAUAAUGAAAAAAAAACAUAAAAAAACUUGAAAAUUAUUAUAACAUAAGAAGUUCAAAUCUAAAGAUUCUACUUGUUGCCAUAUUGAUCCCACAAAUGUUCGAUCAAAUUUUCUUGUAGUUGAGAGCUAGUUGCUCUAUCCCUAAUUCGAUUAUGAGUUUGAAGAAAAUCAUAUAGUUCUAGUAUUUCACCAUGUGACACUGAUAUAAAGGAAUUGACUUCAUGUUCAUGGUCAAAUCCAAGGUUCAUUGCUCCUUCAUCCUCAAUAAUUAUUAUGCAUUAUUAUGCAAGCUUUCCUAAUAUAUGCAAGUGUUUCUUCAUCCCAGUAUCGAACAGGUACACGUACAAUUGCAAAACGAGAUUGGAGCACCCCAAAUACCCGCUCUACAUCCUUUCUUGCAGACUCUUGCUUGCUUGCAAAAUAUUUUCUCUUUGCUCCUAAUGGUCUUGAGAUUGUCUUAACAAAGGUUGACCAAUUAUGAUAAAUCUCAUCUGCUAAAUAGUAUCCCAUUGUAUAUUCAUGCCCAUUAAUUGUAUAAUUAAGAGGAGCAGUACGACCUUCAGUAAGUGCAGCAAAGAUAGGUGACCGAUCAAGAACAUUAAUAUCAUUUAAUGAUCCAGGCAUUCUAAAAAAGGCAUGCCAUAUCCAAAGAUCUUGUGAAGCCACCGCCUCUAGAAUUAUAGUUGGUUCACGACAAUGACCAGUAUACAUCCCAUGCCAUGCAAUUGAGCAUUUCUCCUAUUUCCAAUGCAUACAAUUAAUGCUCCCUAACAUCCCUGGAAAUCCACGUUGCUCUCCAAUUGAUAAUAAUCGACAAAUAUCGGCCUCAUUUGGUGCCCUUAGAUACCAAUCACCAAAAACUUCUACGAUUGCUUUGACGAAAGCUCUAAGACUUUCUAUUGCAGUGGUUUCUCCAAUUCGAAGAUAUUCAUCAAUAAGAUCUGCAGGAAUACCAUUUGCAAGUAUUAUAUGAGCUGCAGUUACCUUUGAAAGGCAAGAUAAAACAAGAACACCAAGAGCAUAUGUCCUUUGUUUGAAAUAUGGAUUAUGAGCAUCCACUGCAUUUGCGAUCCGAAGAAAAAGACCUAAAUCUUCUUCGAAAUUGACUUUCAGUGAAUUUAGGAUUUUCAGCAAAAUAAUCAUUAUAUAACCUUAACUCACCUUCCUUUUUAUUAUGAUUAACAAUAUUAUGACCAAGAAUAAAGCCACGAUACCCUGUUCUCCGCCCUUGAUUAUUCAAUUCUUCUUCAGCAACCAUAGAGGUAGCAACUUGAAAAGCGAACACAUGAGUGUCAUCACCAAAAUCAAAAGCAUCAUAAAAAUUAAAAUUAGAAUGAUUCAUGAUGAAUUUUAAUGAAAUAUAAAAAAUAUUGGGGAGAAGAAAAUGACAAGAAAAAAUGUUAAGGUAUAUGAGAAUAUUUAUAGAUGGAUUAUUUUUUCUAAUUGUAAAAUCUUAGAAUGUUGGCGGUAAUUUUUUCAAAAUUUAAAAUUUUAAAAUUUAAAAUGUUGGCGGUCAUUUUUUCAAAGCUUGAAUUUUUUAAAAAAAAAAUUGAAAAUCAAAAUUUAAAAUGUUGGCGGUUUUUUCAAAGUUUGAAUUUGAAUUUACUUUUAAAAAAUUAAAUUUUUAACAAUAACAUAUAAAACUUAAAAUUAAAAAUAUUCAUAUAAAUAAAUUUUACAUUUAAUUUUAAAUUAUAUCUUUUAACUUAUAUAUUACUUCAUUAAUUUUAUAUUACUUUUAUAAAUUACUCAUAUUAAUUAUAUAAUUAAUAACAUCAUAAUUAUAUUAUAUAUAAAAUAUCUAAAUUAGUUAUAUAAUUAUAUUAAAAUUAAUUUAACAUGAAAUAUAUUAAAAUAUAAUUAGCUUUUCUAAAUAGCUUUUUACCAUUGGAAUGCACAUAAUAAAAAAAAGCUAUAUUUAUACUAUUUAAAAAAGUAUUUUUUCCAUUUGGCUUUUUAAUAUAGCAUUUCCCAUUGGAGAUGCUCUAAGCAAGCUUUUAGAGCAUUUGUCUUGAUGAACUAAGGCCAUGGAUUGAUUCUGGUGGUCCUGUUGAUAAGUUCGCUUGUGUCACAGUAACAGAUCUUGCCUGGAAUGUUGAUUGCAUUGCUAAGAUCCUUUCAAAGCAUGCAUGGUCGAGAAAUUAGUUUUGAUAGGAUUAGUUAGGGGUGAGCAAAAAAACCGAAAAACCGAUUAAACCGAGAAAACUGGAAAAAAAAUAACCGAAAAAACCGAACCGAAAAAAAAAACCGAUUAGAAUUUUUAAAAAACCGACCGGUUCGGUUCGGUUUCGGUUUGAUAAGCUUGAAACCGAAAAAACCGAACCGAACCGAACCGGUUCAGUUAAAAAAAAAUACUAUAAAAGCCCUUUCUAAAUUUUUAACCCUAAACACCCCCCUCCUUCUGCAUCCAGCAGCCGCCCCCCCCCUCCAAAGCCCCCACAAGCUCCAAAGCCCCCACAAGCCACAACUCUCAAGUCUCAAUCUCCCACACUCUCGUCCAUUACUUUACAAAACUUAAUGCCCAGAUCUAGACUUCUAAUCAUCUAACAAAACUUCAACAAGGCUUCAAACUUCAUCUUCAAAUCUAACAACCCAAGGAUUGGUUUAGUGUAUGCUUCAAAUCUUCAUCUUCAAGGCUUCAGUGUUUGUUUCCUCUCAUCGCGGUUGUGUCCUUUGAAGAAAGAUUAAAGCUUUGUUGGAAUGCACUGAGCGAUGAAAAGCCAUUUUCCUUGCAACUCCUUGCUUUCUUACCAGAACUUUGUAGUCUGCAGUCCCAUGAUAGUUUUCAUGAAGCUUAUGAUGACGGAUUUGUUGUUUGUUGAGUAAUUGGGCUUUCAAAAUUUUGGGGUUUGUAGGGAAGAACAAGAGGGAAGCUGGAGAAGCUAUAAAGAAGAUUGUUAAAAAAACCCGAUCGAUUUGAUAUAGGUUUUUCUGGUUUUUAUGUUAAAAAAACCGAACCGGACCGAACCGAAACCGGUCGGUUUGAACUGAUCCCGGUUCGGUUCCGGUUCAAAAUUUUCAGUUUUUCAAAAUUUUAUUUUGGUUAGUUUUUUAGAUAAAAACCGAACCGAACCGAAAAUGCUCACCCCUAGGAUUAGUCUUCCAUUUGGCACCUGACAUCCAAGAUUUAUUCAAGAUGACAUUAUUCAAGACUUUUGUAAUAUAGUUUUAUUAGUUUGGGUGUAGAUUUAAAUGUGAAUUGUAAAUGAGUAAUGUUAAAUUAAUUGUUUUAAUUUAAAAUUUAAAAUUGUUAAAUGAGAUUUGAUACUACCAGAAAAUCGGCGAAAACCAACGAAAUUACCGAUGGAAUAUUUUGUUCCGUCUCUAAUUAUGUUGGUAUAUACUGACAGAAUAUACCCGUUGGCGAUAUGGUCGGUAAAUACCGAUGGAGUACGUAUGUCAGUAUAUACCAAUCGUAUCACCAACGGAUUAUAUAGUUUUUUUGGAAAGUUGCAACUAUGUGAUCGAUGACGUGGAUUUUUUUCAGAUGAUUUUAUCGACGAAAUGACCAAGGGAUUCAAAUCGGAAUCUCCGUACAGUGACAUGGCACAGUCACCGGUAGACUCACCGACAGGUAUAUCGACAGAAUGUGUCCGCCGGUGAUUCCAUCGGUAACAGUCGAUAUAUACUCACUCUGCCGACACUCUAUUUCUCCUUCUUCUUCCCCUUCUUGUUCCCCAUCCCACCUCUCCCCUCCCGAAUUGCAGCCAACCACCCAUCACAACUCUCCCCCUCUUCUCAACACAAGCACUCAAGUUUCUUAUACUUUUAUACGUGGUCACAACAUCUGUCAUAACCCAAUUUUUGACCAUUUUAUUUUUAUUAUUAUUAUUAUUUUAUUUAUUGAAAAGGAUAAAAAAAUUGAUGAAAAAAAAUAAAAAAACAAUAAUGAUGAUGAAGAAUGAAUUAAAUUUUGGGUUAAGGACAAAAUGAAUGGAAGUUUUGGGGUUUAAUUAAACUUUGGAAUUAAUCUAAUUAAGCUUGAAAUUAAUUUAAUUCAUCAAAUCAAGGAUUUAAUUGGAGAAUUAAUAAGUUGUGAGACUUAAUUAAGCUUGGAUUUAAUUUAAUUAAUCCAAUUAAGGGUUUAAUUGGAGAAUUGAUAAGUUUUGAGACUUAAUUAAGCUUGAAAUUAAUUUAAUUAAUCCAAUUAAGGGUUUAAUUGGAGAAUCGAUAAGUUGUGAGGCUUAAUUGGACUUGGAUUUAAUUAAAUUAAUUAAAGCAGGGACUUAAUUGAAGAAAGAUUAAAAGUUGGGGAUAAAAUUGCAAAAUUAAAAUCCAAGGGCUAAAUUGAAAUUUUCGCGCAAAUGCAGGGGGCCAAUUACAGUUUAAACCAGGGGCUUAAUUACAAAAUGUUUAAACCGUCAAGGGCCAAAAUGAAACUAACCAUUAAAACACGAAAAACGGUGCCGUUUCUCAGCACUGUUCAUCUUCUUCAAACUCUUCAGCUGCCGGCCGCCACCAUUACUGCUGCAAUAACAGUCAAUUGAUUACCUGGUAACGGUGGAAUGCUGUGGCUAUAAAGCCGGAGAAAACAAGGAAUCACUGGACGAAAAAAGGACGGGAAGCCACGAAAAAAAUCACAGAACCGGGGAGGGAGAUUAUACAGAGGAGAGAGCAAAUUUUGGCCAGCCACCGCACCUUCAUCAUCGUCUUCUUCCAGACCACGGUUGCACCCCCUUCCCCCCCGAACCGACAGACGCCAGGGCAACCAAGGGAACACAGAGGAGGGAGAGAAAAAAAAAGCCACGAACAGCAGAAAACUAAGACAGAAGAACGAACCAGAAUAGCAAAUUUUUGCUUCUUCUCAGGGGACAUAGACGAAGAGAAAUAAACAGGAGGAUAGACAGGGAGUAGAUAGAGAGAGAGCAGAGAACAAAAACAGAGGGUACCGAGAGCGGGAGGACCGAAAGCACAAGCUAAGAAAAGGAAGGAGCAAAAAGCCAGCGUUCGCGGCUUUGCUUUGGUCCCCAGAACGAAAACAAAGUGAACAAAAGAAGACAGAAAAAACAAGCAGGAAAGGAAGAACCACCAGAGGGCACCAGCAUCAUCAUCGGCUUCCUCUUCUCCAGCGCCAGCUUCCACAGCCAGAGGAAGAAGUUAAAAAGGAGAGAGGAACGAGCAGCUGACAGAAGGAAUACAUAUACAGAAGGGAAACGAACGAACACAGGGAUAUUGAGGCAAGGAUAGACGAUCAAGAAAGACUGCAAAAUCCGGAUCGCCAUUUCCAGCGCCAGGUAAGUUGCUCUUUCCUUCUGUUUAUUUUAAUUACAUGCUGCUCCUGUAGAAAAACUAAAAAAUGGCCAGCCGGGUCAAGCCUGUGACCCGGCUAGGCCGGCUGGGUCAGAGCUGGGCCCAGCUUAAAAAAAUAAAAAUAGAAAAAACAGAAAAAAUUAAAAAUAGAAAAAAUUAAAAAAUAUGUAUGCAUGAAUAAAAAUAAUAUAAAUUUACUGGUUUAUUAACUGACGCCAGAGUCAGGAAUAAAAAUAUCGGUCUAAAUUUAUAUUAUUUUUAUUCGUUGUAUUUUUAUUUUAUUUAGCUAGAAAAAAAUAAAAUAUGUGCAUGCUUAAAAAUAAUUUUUUUAAUUUAAUUAUUGACGCUAGAGUAGGGAAUUAAAAAAUAUUGAUCUAAUUUUUUUUUUCGUAGCUACGAAUUUUUACCAACGCCAGAGUUGGAAUUAUUCGAGCUCGAAUAUUCACUGGCGUUAGAGUCAGGAAUAUUAUAAACAAAUCAUCAUAGCAUAAGAAAAUAAAUGUUUAGCAAUUUAAGACAAAACCAGCAAUGCAGUCUGCCUCAGGCAGAACGUUUAAGGGGUGAUAAUAUCUUCCCUUUUACGUAACCAAUCCCGAGCCAUAGAAUCUCUGUUGACCAGUUAGGGUUCCUGGUGACCAUAAUACUAGGUGGCGACUCCUCAAACAAGACCUUUUCCCCAAAAGAACAGGAUGCCAGAAAUCUGUUCUUUUUCCAAAAUAAUUUUAGAGAAUUAGUUUUUAGGGUCGCCGCGAUGUCGGGUGCGUUAUUGCGUUGAAAUAUUUAAUAUUAUUUAAUAUUAAGGAUGAUAUUUUGGAACAUGAAAUAUUUAUUCUUAUUUAAUUGUCAGCUCUUGUUAUUGCAUUGUGCGUUCUGUAAGUAUGUAAUUGAAGAUUUUGUGUAGGAGGAUAGACACCCAUACAAACAGAAGCUGCAAAAAUAUUAACAGUUUUAUUGAUGGCUAUACCGACGGCCUGGAACCCUUCAGUAUUAUACCGAGAGUUGAAAAAAAAAUUAUAGUGUUCUUUGUUUUGUGUAUUGUUUGUAUUUAUUUUAUUUAUUUUAUUUUAAUUAUGAUUAUUUUUUUAGUGUUCUUUGUUUUGUGUAUUGUUUGUAAAUAAAAUCUUAAAAUCAACACACUAUUAAGGUAAACAUUUUUUAUUCCUAAAUUUAUUUUGAAUUUAUGUAGUGUUCUUUAGUUUUGUUUAUUGUUUUUUGUGUUUAGGAUGUUUUGUGUAGUGCUCUUUAGUUUUUUCUUUUAAUUUAUUAAUUUUAUGAUAUUAUUGUUUGUAUUGCCAUAAUAAAGAAUGUUAUUGUUCAAUUUAUGUUUAAAAUGUUAAUUGAAAUAUAGAAUUAAAUUUAAUUAGUUUAUCUUAAUUUUAGGAUAUUAUUGUUUGUAUUGCCAUAAUUGUUAUUGCUGAAUUUUUGUUUUAAAUGUUAAUUGAAAUAUAAAAUUAAAUGUAAGUAGUUUAUCUUAAUUUUAGGAUAUUAUUGUUUGUAUUGCCAUAAUAAAGAAUGUUAUUGUUGAAUUUAUGUUUAAAAUAUUAAUUGAAAUAUAGAAUUAAAUUUAAUUAGUUUAUCUUAAUUUUAGGAUAUUAUUGUUUGUUAUGUUUUUUAUUAUUUUGAAUAAUUUUAAUUGUUGUUUAUGAAUUUGUAUUGAUGUUAGUUGAAAAUAUAUAGAUGUUGAAUUUCUAUAGAUGUUAGGUUGUAUAGAGUUGAUUUUGCAAUAUUUGUGUAAUUAUCAAUAUUUGUAGGUUUGAAAACUGUGGCUAGUCUCUAAUAUAGGGGAGGUGCUUUCGAAUUUUUUUAAAUGCUUGAAUUUUUAUAGAUGUUAGGUUGUAUAUAUGAUAUUGCUGGAGUCAACUGGAUUGUGGUUAUUGUAAAGAUUGUAUAUAGCUCAUUUUUCCAAGAGUUGGCGACUCAUAAAUCGCAAGGAGGAGGGACAAAAAAUUUAGAAAUCUAGGGCGCUAAAAAAACCUAUAUAUUUUUUAGUAUUUUAUACUCUCACGACUCGUAAACCGUGGAGAAAAAAAAAGAUUGAAAUGUCCUUGAUUAUAAUCAAGACUUCUUUCAAGGAUGUGUGCCGAUUUAUUACUCCCAAUAAUAUUUUGGAUAUUCGUCUUUUAAGGAUUUUUUUUAUCCAAAUAUUAGCGGUGAAUAAUAGAUGAAUUCCCCCCAAAAUAAGAUUUUUAUAUUUUUUGGAAUAUUGGCCAAUAUCCUUUGGAGUUUUACAAACAUGUUGUAAAAUCCAGAAAUGUAAGAAAAUAAUUUUUUUGUUGUGUUUACGAAAUCCAUGCGAAAACACAUUUUUAAAACUUUCAAUAUUUUUUGUAUAAAAAAAACAUUCAAAACAUGUUAGGGUAUUAACCGUAUGCAACACACAAGGAAACAUUUUUUAUAUAUUUUUUUUAUCAAAACACAAACAUCACAAUUAGACGUAAACACCAAAAUGGAAAGUAGCAAGCCAUCAUUCAUAUUACAAGAACUACAAGAAACUUGAAACAAUUCGUAACAAAAAUCAUUCAAAGCCAAAUCAACUUAAAAUUCUGUACACUAGAAAGGACUAAGCCCGUAAGCAUGAGGGAGCCAAAGUUAUGAAACUGAAAUUUUUAAAUGAAAAUCCUACUGCAUAUGACUCAUGACCUAUUUUCUUUUUAACAAUCCGGGAGAAAAAAUAAACUGCCAUGCUAGUUUCAUACAAAAAAAAACAAGAAGAGCUUGGGACGACAUGCUUUUAUAACACAUAUAUAUCAUGGACUAGAAACCAAAGCAAGACCUGGCCGGCUAUUUCAAUAAAAAAAUGGAAGGACACAAACAGAAUAGGGAGCUGCUGAUGAAGAAAACAACAGCCCCCUUCCCCGAUUCCUUAAUUCUGAAACAGCGAAAGAAAUGAGAUAAAGGAAAGGAUUAAGCCCGUAUGCAUAAGGGAGCCAAAGUUUUGAAACUGAAAUUUUUAAAUCAAAAUCCUACUGCAUGUGACCAUGACUCAUGACCUAUUUUCUUUUUAACAAUCCGGGAGAAAAAACUGCCAUGCUAGUUACAUACAAAAAGGAAGCUUGGGAUGGUAUGCUUUCAUACAAAAAGACAUGGCCGGCUAUUUCAAUAAAAAAAUGGAAGGACACAAACAAAAAAAGGGAGCUGCUGAUGAAGAAAACAACAACCCCCUGCCCCGGUUCCUUAAUUCUGAACCAGCGAAAGAAAGGAGAUAAAAAAAAGAACACCAGAGGCUAGCCAAAUCUUAACAUAGUCACCCAUCCAAAACUCAAAACCACGGCAGGAACAACACAAAGCAAGCGAGCAUUGUACAGUCUAAAAUUGAAAACGAAUGUGCAAAGCAAAGACAAAACAGGUACAAAAGUUUUUAAGGCAGCAAAGGAGGAGAAAAUUAAGGCUUACCUGCAGGUCUCACUGUUUUCUUUUCUAUAGAAGAUGAAAUAAAACCAAGCAAACGUAGCUGUCAAGGUUUAACAGCAAAGCUCCCUCUCCGUCUUGUCUUUUUUUUCUCUCCUCUUUCCUCACAAUAACACCAGAAUGCAAGAAAGAAAGCUCCCUCUAUUUGCUGCGUUUUUUACUCUACGUCUCUUACGUUUUUCUUAUCUGUCUUUGGCUGUUUCUUUCUCUACUCUUUUCUCUCCGUUUUUUCUCUUAUUUUUCUACUCUGUCCCGCUCGUUAGGUCAUUAAAAAGGUUUAUAUAUAGUCUAAAUAUGUCUCUAUUUAGGAAGGAUUCAAUGCAUUAAUCCUAGGACUCAAAUCCUUACUCAUUUGCAGUAAAAAAAUGCAAAAAGAAAACUGCAAUAUUCUGAUUUUGUGUAGGUGCUUUACGUCUGAUUUCUUUCCAGUUUUAGAGGAUGGUGUGACUCUUUUUUUUCCUUCCAUAGGGCCAGCUGCUCCCUUUGAAAUGAGGCAACAAAAACGUGGUUGCAGCUCCAAAAAUCAGGUAUGAUGAUAAAGGAAAAACAACAGGAAUUUGCAGCAAAAAAAGGAAAGAAAUCAGAUGGAGGGUGCAGCUGCAAAGUCUCAUUUUCCUUAUUCGGUGUGAAAAAAAUCUUGUCAUUUAUGAUGAUCCAACCCCCCUCUCCAGCUUUCCAUAUCCUUCAUUUCAAUCUCUCAUUUUAACACUUUUUGAUUCAGUCCUUGGUCUAACUCAAAAACUGACGAAUGCCGAGAAUCCUGGUAUGAUUGAGAGUAUGAACUAAUAACAAAAAUCACAAAAACUAGGCCAAAAAAUAGAUUUUUUUUAGUGCAGACUCGGGUCAAUAUCCUUCUCGCGGUAGAAUUCUCUACCUUCACGUUAGAUAUUCAAACGGGAACAUCUUGAGCCUCUGAUAUCGAAAUCAAGUGAUUCAAAAGCUCAAAUUCAUCUACGCAUCUAGGUCUGCAACUUUGAUGGAGGAGUUGAAGUGAAAUAAAAUCUUUUUACAGAACAGAAACUGACAGUAAUCUAGUUGGUCAAAAAGGAUCUUCGGGUCUAACUCAAAAACUGACGAAUGUCGAGAAUCCUGAUAUGACUGAGAGUAUGAACUAAGAACAAAAAUCACAAAAACUAGGCCAAAAAUAGAGAUUUUAUAGUGCAGACUUGGGUCAAUAUCCUUCUCGCGGCUGAAUUUUCUACCUUUACGUUAGAUAUUCAAACGGAAAUAUCUUGAGCUUCUGAUAUCGAAAUCAAGUGAUUCAAAAGCACAAAAUCAUCUGCGUGUCUAGGACUACAACUUUGAUGAAGGAGUCGAAGUGAGAUAAAAUCAUUUUAGAGAACAGAAUCUAGCAGUAAUCUAGUUGGUAAAAAAAAAGGUUCUUGAUCUGACAAUGCUGAGCAUCCAAAUCUGACUGAGAAUCUGCCUUAAGAACAAUGAUCCCUAGGACUUAAUAAAGGUGUGCGUCAAUUUUUUAACAUGUCAUGAGUGACAAAAUAUAACUAGGAUGGUCAGAUAUCGUACGAAACCGAGUCAGAAUCAGAGCCUAAGUUGGAACAAAAAAAAUUAUGACAAUAGCAAAACCAUUUUUUUUUGUGUGCAAAUUUUAAGGGAUUUAUUCAACCUUAAAGACCAGAUAAAAAAAAAAAAAUUAGCAUUAUGAAGACUCCUGAUCAACCUAAGAACCUGAUGAUUUUGGUAGUAAAGGGAAAGGAUAAAAAAAGCAGAAAACAACUCAAACAAGGUUUAAAAAAAAAACAAAAUAUUUCUUUCUGUGCUUUUGUCAAUCUUCUGGCGAAUAUAAGCUAAACUCCUACACUCUGUUCAAAAGAGGUAUACACCGUCUCUAGCAUGUGGGGUCCAAAAUUGAGUAACAACAGUAAAUAUUUAUCUUAAAUGCAGGCUUAUCACAUAAAUAAAAGGAUUGAUUGAUGAGUUUAAGUAUUGAAAUUGAAAGGACAAAGAGAGGGCUAAACUUAGAAAAGAGAUGUUGGUGUAGUCCAAACUGGAACACUGUUCGGUAAUUGGGUUAUAUCUCGAGUUCUUGAUGUCCAAAUGACCUCAAUGUUUUGGACAUAUUCGGUAAGACAUAGGUCGACAACUUUCAUGUGGAGUCCAAGAUUUAAAAAGGUCGUUUUCAAGUCCAAAUUAUAGCAACAACGGAGAAGUCUGAAUCUAUCCUGCAGCCCAAAUAUUGUUCAGUGUUCAGCUCAUAUCUCGAGUUCUAGAAGUCCAAAUGACCUCAAUUUUUUUUCCUGGAAAGAUAAGACAAUUUCCUAUAACUUUCAUGAGUACAGGUGGUUCCAGUUCUGAUGCUAGCAAUGACGUUUUAUUCAAACAAGAAUAUAAGGAUUUUCACCAAGUCAAGAGUUGGCCAUCCACUCAACAAUUAGUCAUCAAAUCAAUAGUUCCAAAUUUUGGUCUAUAAAAGGAGGUAUUUGCCAUGCAUUUAGGGGCUUGGUUGUUUAGAUCAAGAACUUGCUCAUGCUCUCUCUCUUUAUAUAUAUAUUUUUUGUAAUUCUUAAGUUUUGCUUUCAUUAAUAUCUUGUUUAUGCUUUUCAUUUCCUUUCCUUUACUUAGUUAACUUGUAUGUUGUUUAUGUUCUUAUUUUGUUUAUUUAUGUUUCUCUUCUUCAUUAUGUUUAACUAAGUUUGUUAUGUCAAGGUGAAAAGGUUACACUUAUGGUGUAAGAUAAGAAUGGUGUAAACUUAACAUGGACCUUAAUGUUUAAUAUUAACAUGUCUUAUCUUUUUAUCUUACUAAUUCUUAAUACCUUGCUUGUUAAAUGGUUAAUCUAUAAUUAAAUUUAAUUAAUUUAUCUUAAUUUUAGGAUAUUAUUGUUUGUAUUGCCAUAAUAAAGAAUGUUAUUGUUGAAUUUAUGUUUAAAAUGUUAAUUGAAAUAUAGAAUUAAAUUUAAUUAGUUUAUCUUAAUUUUAGGAUAUUAUUGUUUGUUAUGUUUGUUAUUAUUUUGAAUAAUUUUAAUUGUUGUUUAUGAAUUUGUAUUGAUGUUAGUUGAAAAUAUAUAGAUGUUGAAUUUCUAUAGAUGUUAGGUUGUAUAGAGUUGAUUUUGCAAUAUUUGUAUAAUUAUCAAUAUUUGUAGGUAUGAAAACUGUGGCUAGUCUCUAAUAUAGGGGAGGUGCUGUUGAAUUUUUUUAAAUGAUUGAGUUUCUAUAGAUGUUAGGUUGUAUAUAUGAUGUUGCUGGAGUCAACUGCAUUGUGGUUAUUGUAAAGAUUGCAUGUUUGAAAAUUGUGGGCAGUCUCCAGUAUAGGGUAGGUGCUGCCGAAUUUUUUUUAAAUAAUCAAAGUUAAUUAUGUAUCAAAUGAAAUCUAUAGCACGUCGUCAGCAGGCAGUUGCAGCUAGUUCUUCUAGCAGCAAGGAGGACAUCUCCUUAGGUGCUGAUCAUGGCGAGGCAUCUGUGCCAACUUGUGAUGUUGACUUUUCUAGCGCAGUUUCAUAGCACAGAGAUGGUGUGCCUUCACAGCGGGGUCAAUUCACCUGCAAGUACCAGGCACAAUGGAAGGAUGACCUCUUAAUGUAAGUUUGUUUAGGUUUUAGUUUUUUUAUACUUAUAACAUAAUUUAUGAACAACUAAUUACUAUUUUAUUAAUUUUAUUUAAUUUCAGGUUCACAAACAUUAAGACUGGCAGAACAAUAAUAUUGGUGUUUAAAUCAUCAAUGGAUAUUCCAUUGUUUCAAUGGAGUCAGGUCUCCAGACAUCCUGAGUGAAGACCUCAUAUCGAUGCCUAGUUUUGGCGAUUUCAGGUAGGUGUUAAUUUUUAAUAAAUAAUUUUUUGUAAUUUUAUAUGUUGUACUAUUUUUAUUAUAAAUGAAGUAUUUAUAUACACAAAAUAAAUUUGAGUGGGAUAGCGCGAACAACACUGUUGUUAUGAAGGUAUGGGAGAAUCACGCGGCAACUAAGGAACAUCGAAAAUAAUAUUUAUUUUUUAUUUAUAAUUUUAGGUUCAAAAUUAUAAUUAGUUAGUAUGGAAGUAGGUUGCGUGAUUUUUUGUAUGACAAAAAAAAGCGAAAAGAUAUGCGAGGGACAACGGUCUUGAAGGAUGGAUGAGGUGGCACUUUUGGCGGGAAUUCAAACCGCCAUUCAUCUCGGGAGAUAUAUGGGCGACUUAUAUUAAGCAUGUAACGUCUAAGCGGUUCUCACGGCACUCAUAGUCCGACACCGACAACCAGAACCAACAAAUUCAUGAUUCGAUGACCACGCACACCGGCGGCUCCGUCCCGUUCAGCGCACAUGCGAAUUGGAUGGUAAGAUUAAUUUAAAUGAAAUAUAUCAUUAAUUAAUUUGUUGUUGCUUAUAAAUAUAUUUAACUUGCAACUUUUUUUCCUUAUAAGCUAUGUUUCUUGGACAUGAGCCGAGUCCAAUGGAGCUAUUUAUAGAGAUGCAUGUGCGGAGUCAAGACCACCCAAAGGUGGUGCAGUAGUUUGUGGACAACCAUGCUCAGCACUUCGUGGUAUGUUCGUUCAAUCAUUUUAUUUUAUAAGUUCUUAUUUUCUUGAAUUGAAUAUGAUGAUUUUUUUUAACUUUUCAGGAGACCUAUAAUAGUUGGUUGAGGGAUAGAUAUGGGGACAAUCCUUCGACCCAUUCGGAUUUCGAUCCAGAUUUAUUGAUGGAGAUCGGAUCGUCUGGUGGACCCGAUAAAAAUCGAGUCUAGAAGCUCUCCAACACUAUGGUAGAAAACUUGUGGUCAACCCAUAGUGUCUCAACCAGGAGCUCUCCAUCAUUAUCGAGCACCCAGUUAGAGGAGUUCAUAGCCUUGAAACAACAAUAUGAACGCCUCUCGACAGAUUAUAAUCAACUCUAUCAAAUGGUCAUGAAGAUCAAAUCAAGGAUUGGUGACGAUACAUAUGCAACCCCUUUUUAGCCGUACGAUUCCGGGAACAACCAGCCUCCUCCUCCUCCUCCAACUCCAUCGCUAUUUUAGUUUAAUUUUGUUUUUUAAGACAUUAUUUGUAAUGAAUAUUUGGAUGAAUAUUAUUUAACAUUAUUUUUACAUUUUUAAUGUUUAAUACAAAUUUAUUUGGUUAUUAAGUUUUUUUACUGCUAAUAAAUAAUUUUUUUAAAAAUAUUUUAAAUAAAUACCGAUGGCUUUCCAGACAGAACCAGGCCAUUAGUAUUUUUACCGAGAGUUGCAAAACAAUUACCACCCGUGCCACAAUCACUGACGGAUAUAUUCUGUCGGUAUUUACCAUUGCUAUUAUUGACAUAAUAUAUCCGUCGGUAUUUGUCAGAGAGUUCUGAAAGAUUUACCGCCAUGCCAAAAUCACCGACGGAAUAUCUGUCGGUGAUUACCAUUGAAAAUACAUAUGGAAUUAUUUUGUCUAUAAUAUUCUCGCGAGAAUGUUUUUGGCGCGCUUCGCUGUCUGUAACACCGUCGGUGUUCCAUCGUUGUUUUGUUUUUUUAAUUACCAAUAAAAUUGGUGACGGAAUGAGAAAUUACCGACGAUAAAAAUUCUUAUGGGCGGAUUACGUCGGUGAGGCCGUCGGUAAAAAUAUUAUCAACGGUUCGCGUGCCUCACACCGACGGAAUGAAUCCGUCGGUAAAACUGUUUAAUGGUGUAGUGUGAUGAAUGAUUUUAUAUUAUUCUCCAACAUGUCUUUUAAAAUGAAAGUUUCUUAAGUUUUAAAAUUUAUAUGGGUUUAAUAAUAUUUAUGUAUGUUUAGUUUUUUUUUUAAUUUACAUGGAGAAGAAUGUUGAUUGUGGUGAUAUUAAAACUUUUAUGGCUUAGUCAUUAAAACUCUAACAUCAUAAAAAAAAUCAUCUCAAGUAAAAAUUUAAAUUAAUAAAUGAAGUUUAAUAAAUGAUUUUAUAUAUAUUAUUUUUUUGACAAAUAAACUUUCCAUAUAAUCAUCUUUGAGAUUCGAAUUUUAGAAGUGGUUACUGGAAUAUUAUGUUAUGUAUAUUAAUCUGUAUUUAAAUCAUAGUUUACUUAAGACUUGAUUGGAGAGGAAUUCAAGUGGUGUUUUCGUCCUUUUUUGGUUGAAAGGCAAUGUUUCAGUCAAGUUAAUGCAUGUAUGUUGUAUAAAGCAGCACAGGCUGGCCUGGUGGCAGGAGUGAUUGAGAUUGCGGCUGGAUUGUGUUUUUAAAAUAACUUGAAUUUUAAAUAAAAUUUAAUUUUUUUUUAAAUACAGUUUAAAACACGUUCGCAAGCUAGCUGAAUUUUCAAGAAUACAUGAUUGCUGAUUCAAACACAUGUUUAUCAUUGCGAAUUAAGGGGAAAAAAAACAAAAGAAAGAAGAAGAAAACUAGGCUAUGCUUUGGCAAGUAGUACAGCAAGGAAGGAAACCAUGCCACGCCACUAAAACCAUGCAUGGACCCAACGAUUAUCCCUUCUGCGUGAUACACGAGCAGAUACAGUUAAAAGAAGAGCAAGAAACCAAGAAAAACCCUUCUCUUGAUAUAUUAUGAUGGGAUUUUCAGAUUCUUAUGAGGUCCACUCGAUUUUCGACCGACAAUUAUGAGAACCCUUCUUAGUACAAAGAAGGGGCUGGUAGACCCUACUAUUAAUUGAGCUACAUGCUCAUUGGCUAAGACUAUUUCCUCUUACUUGAAGGAAGGAGACUAGUGAGCGAUAUUCAUUCACAAUUAUUUAUUUUUAAAUCAUUUAAGUAUUUCAACAUUAACUUAAUAUGUCACUUUAAAUUAAACAUGCUUGUCAUUGCCCUAUCUUAUAAUUAUAAGACAUUUCUAAUAAAUAAUAUUUAUAUAGUAUUAUUUAUUAAGGGUAGAACUUUCAGUUUAACCUAUAUAUACUUUAUUUGUAUUUAGGUUAAGUUUAAGCACUUAUAAUAAAUAGAUUAUUGAGAAUUCUAACCUCUUUUCUGUGUUUGUUCUUAGUUAUUUUAACAUGAUAUCAGAGCUAGUUUUAUAAAACGAGGCUUAAUUCUGAACACAACUUCACAGAUCCAACUCUAUGGUGAGUUGGUUGGGGGUUUACAGAAGGUAGCGCGCCCCUGCCAGAGUUCGGGGCAAAGUCUAAGCACUCAUAAAUAUAGGUUAAAUUGAAAGUACUAUUUUACCCUUAAUAAAUUAGACUGCAUAAAUAUUAUCUAAUAUUUCCUCUCAAACUCACGAUGCAGUUAAACCUAAACAUUCAUAAUAAAUAAAUUAUUGAAAAUUCUAACCUCUUUUUUAUUUUAACAAUCUCCUCGUCUUACCGUCGCUUGUUCUUCUUAAUUGUAAUCUUCCAGUAGAAUAGAAUGAGUGUGUAAUUAAACUUUUUGUUAUGUUGUCUCCUACUUUCCUUCUCCUUCCCAGUAUGAGUCUGGUUUGCUCCAGGUUAGUGAUUCUAAAGAUAGCUUCCAAGCAAGAAAGUAGUGUGAAGGAACAAACAAAGAUGACUUACUUCUUACUAGGUUAGCUCUCUUUGCCUACCCUGUAAAUUCAAUUAAAAAGAAUGAACGGGAAUUUUUUUACAUAAUGCUUGUUUGUUUUCUUGUUUUAGUUAUAUAAAAUUAAGCAUAAAAACUUUAUGAUAAAUAAAAUACUAGACUGCUAAAUAUUUUAUAAAUAUACUAAUUUUAAAAAAUAAAAUACAUGAACUAGAAACUCAUAAACAAUCAAAUAGUAAAACUUUAGAAGAUAUAUAAUAACGGAUGAAAUUUGACAAUACUAUUUGUUUUAGUUAUAUAAAACUAAGCAUAAAAAAUUUCAAACAAACAAAAAUUAGAUUGCUUAAUAUUCUAUAAGCGUGAUCUUUUUCAUGCAGGAAGUAUAUUUUAGCCAUCUCCAUCAACCAACAUCCAAUCUAAUUAGCCAUAUCAAUCAAUUGAUUAAAAAUAAUAAACGAUUAUCCCUUCUGCGUGAUACACGAGCAGAAAAAGUCAAAGAAGAGCAAGAAACCAAGAAAAACCCUUCUCUUGAUAUAUUAUGAUGGGAUUUUCAGCUUCUUAUGAGGUCCACUCGAUUUUGGACCGACGAUUAUGAGAACCCUUCUCUUUAUGUUUCUUAUUACAAAGAAGAGGCUGGUAGACCCUACUAUUAAUUGAGCUACAUGCUCAUUGGCUAAGACUACUUCCUCUUACUUGAAGGAAGGGGACUAGUGAACGAUAUUCAUUCACAAUUAUUUAUUUUUAAAUCAUUUAAGUAUUUCAACAUAAACAUGCUUGUCAUUGCCCUAACGGAUGAAAUAGCAAAACAAUAAAACUUUAGAAGAUAUAUAAUAACGGAUGAAAUUUAACAAUAACAUUUUUUUUCCUUGUUUUAGUUAUAUAAAACUAAGCAUAAAAAAUUUCAAAUAAAUAAAAUACUAGAUUGCUAAAUAUUUUAUAAACAUGCUAGUUGAAAAAAAAUAUGAAAUACAUGAAUUAAAAACUCGUAAACAAUAAUACAGUAAUAGUUCAAAAAACAAAUAAAAACAUAUGAAAAAAUAGUAACAAUAUAAAAGAUAAACAAUAAAAAUGAAAUUUGAUAGUAACACUUGUUUUUUUUUAUGUAAUAAAUAUAUUUUAGCCAUCUCCAACAGCCAACAUCCAAUCUAAUUAACCAUAUCAAUCAAUUAAUAAAAAAUAAUAAUAAAAGAAAAGAAAAAAGGUUGGUUUUUAAUUAUUUCAACUUGUAUUUUAUUUUUGUUUUAAUUAUGUUAUAGUUUUAUUUUAAUUAAUUAUCAAUAUAUAAUUAAUUAAAAAAAUUUACAUAUAAUUUUACAAUUCAAGUUUACACUAUAUUUUUCAAAUUUCAUAUUGUUACUAUUUUUCCUUGUUUUAGUUAUAUAAAACUAAGCAUAAACAAUUUCAAAUAAAUAAAAUACUAGAUUGCUUAAUAUUUUAUAAGCAUGCUAGUUGAAAAAAUAUAUGAAAUACAUGAAAUAAAAACUCGUAAACAAUAAUACAGUAAUAGUUCAAAAGCCAAACAAAAACAGAUAAAAAAAUAGUAACAAUAUAAAAGAUAAAAAAUAACAAAUGAAAUUUGAUAGUAACACUCGUUUGUUUUCAAGUAGUAAAUAUAUUUUAGCCAUCUCCAACAACCAACAUCUAAUCUAAUUAACCAUAUCAAUCAAUUAAUAAAAAAUAAUAAUAAAAGAAAAGAAAAAAGGUUGGUUUUUAAUUAUUUCAACUUGUAUCUUAUUUUUGUUUUAAUUAUAUUAUAGUGUUAUUUUAAUUAAUUAUCAAUAUAUAAUUAAUUAAAAAAUUUUACAUAUAGUUUUACAAUUCAAGUUUACACUAUAUUUUUCAUAUCAUGUUAAAAAUGCCAUUAUCGCUUCACUCCUGCUUUAUAUUAUUACUUUUCAUGCCUUGUCUAAUCUAGUUGACUAUAUAUGGAUGAUGGGUCUAUAAAUACCAACCAAACCAUCUGGUGCAUUCAAACCAUCUUCUUUUCCUCCCUGGAUUUCUAUUAUAUCCAAUUCCAAAUGAUUCUUGAUGCUCUCAUUUUGGUAUUCCUUUAUGGUUUCUGGAAAAUCUUAGCCAGAAAUAGUGAAAGCAAAAAAUCAACAAGAGCCCCUGAACCAUAUGGGGCAUGGUCGUUAUUUGGUCACCUCCCUAGUCUAGUUGGCAAAGACCCAGCAUGUAAAACCCUCGGAGCCAUUGCCAAUAAAUAUGACCCUAUUUACUCACUCAAGUUCGGCAUAGUUGAGAAUAAUUGGGAGGCUUAACCUAAUAGGUAACCAACUCUUUCUAUAUAUAUAUGUAGGGCAAUAUACAAUAGUAAUGGUGGAGUUUACCACACAAGAGUAUGUCUACAAUAUUUCCUAUAUAAGUAUAUUCUAUGAUAUGCCCCCUCAAGCUGAGGAUGGAGGAUCAACCCGAAGCUUGAAGCGAAAAGCAGUAAACAAAGAAGUAGGAAGUGGCUUAGUGAAGACAUCGACAAGUUGAUCCUGAGAGGAAAUAAAAUGAAUCUGAAUCUCCUUCUUUGCAACUCUAUCUCGGAUAAAAUGAUAAUCGACCUCAACAUGUUUUGUGCGAGCAUGAAAAACAGGAUUCACAGACAAAUAAGUGGCACCAAGGUUGUCACACUAAAUAAUAGGAGCAGAAGCAGAUGGAAGCUGGAGAUCUGUUAAUAAGUACUGAAGCCAAAUAACCUCAGCAAUGCCAUCAGCUAAGGCUUUGUACUCAGCUUCAGUAGAAGAGCGAGCAACUGUGCGUUGCUUACUAGAUUUCCAUGAAAUCGGCGUCUGACCAAAAAACACAAGAUAACCACCUGUAGAUUUUCUGUCCUCAACACUGCCUGCCCAAUCUGUAUCUGUAAAACCAUGUAAGGCAAAAGAAGAACUGUAAGUAAUAUGUAAGCCAUGUGAUGCUGUACCCCGAAGAUAACGCAAGAUGCGUUUCACGGCAGCCCAAUAAGAAUCUGUAGGAGCAUGCAUAAAUUGACAGACUCUGUUAACAGUAAAGCAAAUAUCUGGGCGCGUAAAAGUGAGAUACUGAAGAGCACCCACAAUUUGAUGAAAGCGGGUAGCAUCUGAAAACAAUGGAUCGGGCAGAAUGGUAGCUUUGGAUGUAGAUAUAGGAGUAUCAACAGGUUUGUAAAUAAACAUACUAGCCUGAGUGAGGAUGUCAAGUAUAUAUUUAUGCUGGCGAAGCAUAAGACCCAUACUAGUAGAUUGAACCUAAAUACCUAAAAAAUAAUGAACAAAACCCAAGUCGCGAAGCUUAAAUUCUAAGCUCAGUAGCUGAAUGAGGCGUUGGAGUAGAAGAGAGUUACUACCCGUAAGUAGAAUAUCAUCAACGUAGAGGCACGAAAACCAAUAGAUAACAGGAAAUCAUUCAGACGAGUGUACCAAGCCCGCAGAGCCUGUUUUAAACCAUAUAGAGAUUUAUGCAAUCGGCACACAUGAGAGGGGAGAGCAGAAUCAACAAAACCUGGAGGUUGUUUCAUAUAUACCUCCUCAUCAAGAACACCAUUGAGGAAAGCAUUAUGGAUGUCAAGCUGAUGAAUUUUCCAACCACACGAAACUGCAAUGGAGAAGACUAAUCUAACGGUCGCAUGUUUGAUGACAGGACUAAAAGUUUCAGAGUAAUCAAUACCUUCUUGCUGAGUGAAACCUCUAGCAACCAGACGCCUUAUACAUCUUGAUGCUUCCAUUAGAUCUGCGUUUAAUCUUGUAUACCCACCGACUACCAACAACAUUCAUGGAGGGGUGAAACAACACUAAGGUCCAAGUUUUGUUUGUGCGUAAGGCCUGAAUUUCCUCACGCAUAGCACUAUGCCAUGCCUUAUAUCUGUUAGCAUCAUUAAAAACAAGUGGCUCAUGAGAGGGAGGAGAAACUACCCUGUUGAAGGAGACAGUAGAGGCUGCGAUAGUGGCUGUGGACAGCGCUGUCUUGGGCUGCCAUGGAUGAAGAAUCAUGGGAUGUUGACGAGCAGCUUGGCAUGGAGAAGUGUGACCUGUACCUGGAAGCUGCUGAAGAGGAUAUGAGGAGAGAUCUACACAGAGCUGCAGACCAGCUAGAGAAGCAGUGGAGGGACUGGUCGGCACUGCAGACACUGGUGAGGCUGCAGCAGAACUGGGAUGAUCUGCUGCAAAAACGGGUUGCUCUGUUGCAGCAGACCUGAGGACAUGCACAUCCAGUGAUGGAGAACCUGUUCCUGCACAAUGAUCAUUGGAAAGACAAGCAUAUGGUGACAGUGUGGCAGUGUUGGAUGGUGAUGAAAGGGUGGCAGAAUCUAUGGGCAAAGAGGUAGUCUGGUGGGGUGCGGCAGAGGGUAGAAUUGGGUUGUGGUUGGGGCCGGUUUGGUAAGUAGUAGGCUGAAAGGAUGGAGGAGGGUUCAAGGAUGGAAGAUAGGUAGGUGGGGUGGGAGGUAUUGGUGAGGAUGUUACCUGUUUAAACUUUGCAAAAGGAAAGACAUUUUCAUGAAAACGAACAUGACGGGAGAUAUAAAUAUGAUCAGACUCUAAGUCAAGACAACGAUAACCAAGAUGGGAUGAGCUAUAACCUAAAAACACACAAGGAGAAGACCAGAAAUCUAAUUUAUGAGCAUGAUAUGGACACAAAAAGGGGAAACAAAGACACCUAAAAGGACGUAGGAAGUUAUAAUCAAGAGUGCGUCGAAACAAACACUCAAACGGAGAUGUAUUUUGGAGAACAAGAGUAGGCAUGCAAUUAAUAAGGUAGACUGAUGAUUCAAAAGCAUAGUUCCAAAAUCACAAUGGGGCACUACACUGGCCUAAAAGGGUUAGGCCAGUUUCGACAAUAUGUCGAUGACAACGUUCAACACUGCCAUUUUGUUCAUGAGUAUGAGGACAAAUUAACCGAUGAUGAAUACCAAUGGUCUGAAAAAAUUUAUUUAAUUUAUGAUAUUCACUGCCCCAAUCAAUUUGAACAGAUUUAAUUUUAAGAGAAAACUGACGCCUAACAAGUGUUUGAAAACGUUGAAAAAUGGAAAAGACAUCAGAUUUCACAACAAGCGGAUAAUACCAUAUAUGUUUGGUAUGCACAUAAAUAAAAAUAACAAAAUAGCGGAAGCCAUCAGAAGAAAACAUAGGGGCAGGACCCCAAACAUCACUAAAAAUUAAUUCAAGUGGGGCAGAAGUUUUGUGACCCGUAGGUCCUAAUGACAAACGGGACGACUUUCCUAAAGGACAAGCUUGACACUGAGUAAGAGAACGUCUAGAAGUACAUAUGAUUUUAUUACCGGAAACUAACAAAUUGAAAAUGCGAAGGGUUGGAUGACCCAAACGACGAUGCCACAUGUCGACAGUCGCAGAGAUGUAAGGAGACCAAAAAGCUUGAGGAACUGACGUGGCAGAAGACUCGGACAUGAAAUAAAGACCAUCAUGACUCUGACCGAAAAGGAGAACUUCCUUGGUGAUGAGAUCCUUCACAUAAAUCAUAGAAGCGUGAAAUUUAAAAUAAACAUGAUUAUCACGAUAAAAUUUUUGAACAGAUAACAAUGGUUUGGUAAUGUGAGGCACAUGGAGAACAUUAGAUAAUGUAAACAUGCAUUUUGGGGAUUGUAAUUUAGUAUGUACAAUAUGGGUUAUGUUAAGGCCCUUACCGUCACCAACAUGCAAAUAAACAUUACCAAGAUAGGGUGCAGAAUCGGUUAGAGAUCUAAGAUCAGGUGUGACGUGUUGAUUUGCGCCGAUGUCAGGGAACCAAGUCGCAACAUAAAUAUUCCCAACAGCAAGAUGAGCAGAGGGCUGCGGAGAGUUGCUAUGAAAUUGGGAACAAUAGGGAGCUGUGUGCCCAGCACCGGAAUUACGCCUGGUCUGCUGCCAGUGGUUUGGACGCCAAUCUGCAGCAGAUUGGCUCCUGUUAUGGGAGUAAAACGGUUGUUAUGGGGACGCUAAUUACCUCUAGAGCGACCCCUGUUACCUCUAGAGCGACAUAGCAUGGUAUGUAGAAAACUGUGGUGUUGGCAGCAGAGGUGGCUGCUGCGGCAGAGAAGAAGAAGACAACAGAGAGGGACCGACAACCAUGGAAUGGAAGGAGUUCUUGUGCAGAAAUUCAUGGGUAAGAAGGUGCCUGUGAAGACCAACAUAGGAUAACGGUUCUGCCUUGGUUAUGAGACUCGUUACCAAGUCUUUGAACUCACCACGAAGGCCACGAAACAUAUAAAGAUUGAAAUCUUCAAGAGACAUGGGGCGACCAGCAAUAGCCAAUUCGUCAAAUAAUGAUUUGGCUUGCUGCAUGUAUAGACUAACCAAUGAGUCACCUUGUCAAAGCUCUUGAAAGGAGCCAUGAAGUUGCAUGAUGCGAGAAUUAGAUGGAGAGGCAAGCGCUUUCUCAAGAGUGCGCCAAACACAAUGCGAAGUAGAACAAUCUACCACGAGAUGCAACACAUCCACGGAGAGAGAGGAGAGUAAAGCACUCAAAAUAAGUUGAUCCUGUUGCUUCCAACGAAGAAAAGAAGGGUUGAUGAUAGAGGAAGAAUGAGCAGAGCUGUCAAAAAUAUGAGAUGGAGGACACGACACUGAGCCGUCAACGAAGUGAAAAACACCUUGACCAAGGAGAUAUGGCUUCAUCUGCAUUCUCCAAUAGAGAUAAUUUGUGUUCAUAAGCUUUAGCGAAACAACUUGGUGAAUGCUCGCUAAAGGAAUAAUAGAUGUAGUGUGGGUUCCCAUGAGAGGUAAAGGAACGACAGGGACUUGGGAGGAAGAAUCAGAGACAAGCUCUGUAAGUGGAGGCUGCUGUGGGGAGGAAAAAGCACCAGCGGCAGCAGCUUGGGGUUGGCUGGCCGGCUGUACUGCGCCACCUAUGGAGAGGGAGAAGUCGGCGGCAGCAGUAGAAUCCAUGGAGAGAAAGUAAAGAGUUCUGACGGCAGAAGGCUCUGAUACCAAGUUGAGAAUAAUUGGGAGGCUUAACCUAAUAGGUAGCCAACCCUUUCUAUAUAUAUAUAUGUAGGGAAAUAUACAAUAGUAAUGGUUGAGUUUACCACACAAGAGUAUGUCUACAAUAUUUCCUAUAUAAGUAUAUUCUAUAAUAGGCAUUCAUCGAACUCUAGUGGUCAGUAGUUGGGAAAUAGUGAAGGAUUGCUUAAACACCAAUGACAGAGUUUUGGCUAAGAGAGCAGGCAUAACAGGAGGGAAACAUAUGUUUUAUGACAACGUAGCUUUUGCAUUAGCCUCAUAUGGACAGUAUUGGCGAGAUGUCCGAAAGCUGGCCACUCUUCAGCUUCUAUCAAAUCAGCGGCUUGAAAUGCUCAAGCAUGUCCGUGUGUCAGAAGUAGACACAUUCAUCAAAGGUUUGCACAGUUUUUAUGUAGGAAAUGUGGACUCCCCUGCGAAGGUGAAUAUAAGCAAAUUGUUGGAAAGCUUGAUGUUCAACAUAAACCUUAGAACAAUAGUCGGGAAGCGAUAUUGCAGCAGCACAUAUGACAAGGAGAACAACGAGCCCUGGCAUUACAAAAAAGCCAUAAAAAGCUGGUAUUUAUGUGAGGUCGUCGGUAUUUAUGUCGGUGAAUCCGUCGAUACCAGCGUUAGUGAAUGUGACAUUUCGUGUAAUUAUUUAUGAACUCUCUGUGAGAUACCGACGGAUGUGAGGCCGUCAAUAUUGUCGUCAGUAAGUUUGCAUGUUACAAGAAAGGUUUUAUUUGUAUUGACUAUUUACCUUCCUGCAAAAACUUAAAUGAUAAACUAUUCAUCACAUAAAACAAUAACAAUAGUGCUUAAAUAGUAAAUAUUGUGUUACAAAAUAUAUCAUCCAUAAUCUAAAUUACAUGAAAAAAAGGGUUUUACAUACGGCAAAGAAUUGUAGUUAGUUAGAAUUUUCUUUUCAAUGUGCAUGACGUCAAGGUUAUGGUGGAUAAGAUUGGUCUUCCAUUAAGGAAACGCCCAAAAGAUACUUCGCUUUACCCAAUUAUGGGUCAAACCAAAACCAGGAAACUUUUGCUUACCUGAUUGAAGGCCAAACACAAUGUCACCGUACUCUGAUACAACAUGAUGCAAUUCUUCACCAGAAAGACGUGGGGAUGCAACAUCUUUUUCAACUCUGCCAACAAAGAAAUCUUUUCUGUUCUUUCUGAACCUGUGAUUAAGUGGCAAGAAGCGACGGUGAUAGUAAAAAAAAGAAGCUUUACCUCUGUUUGCUAGCGUGAAUGCCUUGUUGUUUUCCAUGCAAUAUGGACAUGCGAGUUUCCCAUGCGUGCUCCAACCAGAAGGCAUUCCAUAAGCUGGAAAAUCAUUGAUAGUCCACAUCAAAGCCGCCCUCAUAAGGAAAUUUUGUUUCCUAGAUAUAUCAUAAGUCAGAGCUCCGGAGGACCACAACUGCCAGCUCAUCAAUCAACGGUCGAAGACAAACAUCUAUAUUCCGCCCCGGGCUGCUUGGACCGGGUAUGACAGUAGAUAAAACAUGAACUCCGGCCUCAUACACAUUCCCGGUGGCAAGUUAUAAACUGUGAGUAUGACCGGCCAACAAGAAUAGGGAGCAGCAAAUGACCCAAAUGGGUUGAACCCCAAACGGAACAUUCCUUGAUUCAGAAAAGUCAGGAUGCACACUGUUAAAGCGUUUCCACGCUUCGCCGUCAGAAGGAUGCACCAUCACACCAUCAACGCAUGUGUGUUUGGUGCCAUGUCAUGUGCUCAGCAGUCCUUGGUGACAUGAAUAACCUCUGCAGUCUAGGUGUGAUCGGGAAAUAUCUAAGUUUUUUAUAUGCCACUAGAGUCUUUCCCCUGCCAGUUCUGGGUUUGUAACGGGAAUGCCCGCAUGUCAUGCACUCGGUCAUCUCAGCAUUUUCAAGGUAGUAUAACAUGCAGAAGUUAGGGCACAUGUCAAUUUUCUGGUAUCCUAAACCGAGGGGUUUCAUCAUGGACUUCGCAGCAUAGAAGUUCUCUUUCAGCCUGUUCCCUUCAGGUAAAAUGCUUCUUGCCCAAUCAAUAAUUUUGUCAUACCCGGCCUCACUCAACCCGUGAUCUGACUUGAUGGUGAACACCUGUGCCACGGCCGAUAAUUUACUGUGGUUUGUGCAGCCAUCCCAUAAUGGUUCGUCAGAAUCUUUCAACAAAUCAAAAAACCUAGCUGCCUCUGCAUUAGGUUCUUCUUCUACGAUUGGACAUUGACUGACAUUACCUUGAUUCAUUCUCAUUGCAUCCAUAACCAUAUUUCUGUAAGGAUUAGUGUUGUCAUUUGCUUCAUGCACGUUGCUAGCACUAGAAGUUGACCCAACCACCGUUUCUCCCAUUCUCCUAUUACUAACAAAUACCUCUCCAUGUGCAUACCAACACUCGUAAUCCUCCAAACCCUUUGUGUAGAAGAUGCAUCAUUACAACAUCUGGAUGCAGAUACUUUUUAUUUUGACACUUCCUGCAUGGACACCUAAUACCAUCUCCAGUAAAAUUUCUGGGAAUAGAUGUUGCGAAAUUAGUAAAACCCUGAACCCCGUUACAAUAAUCCAUCCUCAAUCCUUGGGGUGAAUCUAGAUACAUCCAUGAACGAUCAUCCAUGACUCUAUCGAACCUCUAUAAAAUUAUGAUGACAUCAUGUAUUAAUUAACUAAGUUAGGUAAAUAAACUUGCAUAAAUAUUACUUUACCUCGAGAUUAUCCAACAAACCAAUCACAACUUCUCAUAAAUAUUAAAUAUUCAUUAUCAUUUAUCAACGUCCAUACAAAUUAAUAUAUAUAAAUUAACAGAAAUUACCCCUCUGCAAUACCAUCGAUAAAUCUUAAAAAUGACCCUUUAAGCAAGCUAUUAAUUAUUUCAAAACAGAACAUGUAAUUCGGUAAUUCCACAAAGUUUUAACAAUUUACAAACAAAUACAAUCUUACAAAAUCUAAAACAAACCAUAACAAGUAUAAAAUUAUACAUUCAUGUACUACAAGUUUGUUUGAGAAAUAACAAUAAAACAUGUACAUCUACUAACAAAAAUACAUAUACUAAAAAAACUUAAGAAAAAAAGAUAGAAUUACUUACAAAAAUUGAUAAAAUCCAUCGGUAAAUCAGAACACGGAUGCUGUGACCACAAAACUUCAAGAAAUACAACUUGUUGUGCUGAAAUGAGGAAGAAUUUUGUUUGGGUGCGAGGGGGGGGCUGGUUAUUUGUAGAUGGGGAGAGUUAGGAUUAGGAAGAAGAAGAAGGAGAAAUGGGGGAGGAGAGGGUCGGCAGAGAGGCCAUAUAUUAACUUUUUCUGACGGAUUCACUGACGGAAUAAACCCGUCGGCGACUCCGUCGGCUAUUCUGACGGGAAAAUAGACACGUCACCGCAAGGACCUACUUUUCAAAUCCCUCGGUGAUUCCGUUGGUAUUGUUGAUGGUGAACCGGUCACGUCACCCGUACGGAUCUGCUAUUUCAAAUCCCUCGGUGAUUCCUUCGGUAUUUUUUAUGGUGAACCGGUCCCAUCACCCGUACGGGUCACCCGUUUCGAAUCCAUCAGUGAGUCCGUCGAUAUUGUCGAUGGUGAACCGAUCCCGUCACUCGUCGGGUCACCCGUUUUGAAUCCAUCGGUGAUUCUGUCGGAAAACUAACCCACCAAAACCUCCACAUCAACGACCCGCCCUUUUUUUCUUAAUUCUAAACUUUCCAUCCGUAAUUUGGUCGAUAAUUACCGAUGGUUGUAGUCCGUCUGUAAUUACUGACCGAAUUACGGAUGGAAAAAUUUCUUCGGGAAUUUCGACCUCAAAUUACCGACAGAAAUAUUCCGUCGGUGAUUCCGUUGCUAUUAAGCGAAUUUCUGGUAGUGAUCUGAGUGGGAUGUUUGUAAUGUCGGAUGCGAUUCCAUUUCUUGAAUGGCUUGAUUACCAGGGGCAUGAAAGUGCUAUGAAGAAGACUGCCAAGGAACUUGAUGUCGUGAUACGAAAUUGGCUGGAAGAACAUCUUAAGAAAAAAAUAGAUGGCGAAUCGGGAAGCGAUCGUGAGAGCGACUUCAUGGACGUGAUGAUCUCUAACCUUGCUGAAGGUCCUGAUAAGAUUUCUGGCUUUUCGCGUGAUGUUGUCAUCAAGGCAACAGCUUCGGUACGUUUCCUCACUGUAAGCCUUUAGUACCUCUUUUUUUUUGGGCUGGCAGGUGAGGGGGCGCAUCGCAGAGACCUUCCAGUCUCCUACCAAUUGUGCUAGAGUUCAGGUGGUAAUUGACUUGCAAAAAUUUUCAUUUUCACACGUUUUGUUGUAAUUUUGCAGAUUCGGACGCUCACAGGAGCAGUAAGCACAUCAACUACAUUAGUUUGGACGCUGUCCCUAUUGCUAAACAACCCAGCCGUGCUAAAGGCUUCUCAAGAAGAGCUGGACGAGCAAGUAGGAAGAGAAAGAUGGGUGGAAGAAUCAGAUAUACAGAACCUCAGGUACCUCCAAGCAAUUGUGAAAGAAACCCUGCGCUUAUACCCCCAGGCCCCUUAACAGGAAUACGUGAGGCCAUGGAAGAUUGUUCUAUUGGUGGCUAUGAUGUUCCUAAGGGCACUCGACUAGUAGUUAACAUAUGGAAGCUGCAUCGAGACCCUCGUGUGUGGAAAAACCCAAACGAGUUUAAACCUGACAGGUUCUUGACAACCCAUGCUGAUCUUGAUUUCAGGGGUCAAAAUAUGGAGUUCAUUCCUUUUAGCUCGGGGAGAAGAUCUUGCCCUGCCAUAAAUCUUGGCUUGAUAGUGGUUCAUCUGACACUUGCUAGGAUCCUUCAGGGUUUUGAUUUAACAACUGUUGCAGCCUGUGGACAUGAUUGAAGGCCCAGGCAUUGCCUUGCCGAAGGAGACCCCUCUCGAAGUUGUCAUCGAACCACGCCUAGGAUUGGAGCUCUACUAGGUAUCAAUGCCUUUGCCUUCACCAGUACAUACAUACAUCAAUAAAAAAGUUGAUUUAGGCAUCUUAACAAGUUAAGCGUAUGAGCUUGCGUCAGAUUAUGCUACUAUGCUAUGUAAUGAAGCGAAUACCAACAGAUGUGUGAUAUCUGGUGAUGGCUAUGAAUAUAAUGGCCAGCUUACGUGUACCUCGAUUAAUUUCACGGGUCUUAAAUUUAAUGAUCAUGUAAACCUCAAAUGGAUUUGAAAUUUAUAAAAUUCGAAAUUAUAAUAUCUAGAAAACAGAUUUAAAAUCUGACUAAUUAAACUACACUCAUUGCGCCUUUCUUUUUUCUAAUGACCAGAGAUCGGUUCGGGUUACAAAAUCUCUCGUUCAACAGACCAGAGAUUUCUGCUGCAGUCUCAACUAGAUUACUUUCACGUUCUGUUUUUAUUUGGUAUAUAGUUUAUGCGUUUUAGAAUAUAAUAAUAACAACAAUCAUAAUAAAAAAUAGUGUUUUCACCUGGAAAUGGUGUGUGUAUAUAUAUAUAUAUAUAUAUAUAUAUAUAUAUAUGUAUAUAUAUAUGUUUUUGUAAUUUAUAUUUAAAUUUAUUUUUUAUAUAUACUUUUCUUUCAAAAAUUAUUAUACAAAAACAAAAUAAAAAAUAUUUUAUUGUUGCAAAUACGCUAAUAACACCUAUACAUUAAUAUUUUUGUAUUAGAAAAAAAAUAAAAUUAGUUGACUUGCAGCGAGACGAGUUAAAUAUAUACGUAAUACUUUAUUUUUAAUAUUUAUUAGCAUAAAUAGUUUUUGAUAUAUUUAAUUUAAUGCAUAUAUAAAAGUUUUGAUUUUUAAUUAAAAUUCAAAAAAGACUUUAAAAAAUUUACAUAUUUAUGUUUUUUACGAGAAAUAUUACUUAACUUUAACCAAAACGUAGAUCAAAUAAUUGAUUUAGGCUUUUAUAUUUUUAAAAUAAUUUUUAAAAAAUUAAAAUUUAUUUUUUCUCUCCCAACAUCCCCGUAAAAUUGGAAGGGCAAAUUAGCUUUCCCGACGCCAAUACAUGAGAGAAGUAGUUGCGUUUAUGAAUAAAUAAUGACCUCAUCAUCAAUAGCCAUCCACUGACAAAAGUACACGCGAUACAACUUCCAAAGUAGUGUCAUGUAUCGAGGUACGAGGUACGUCAUUUUCAAAGAAACUUUUAUCACCUUGUAAUCGAUUCACAUGUUCAGUGUACAAAGGAAACUUCGGAUGACAAGUAAUUAGGUAAGAGUUUAUCUACUCUUAUGAUUCGAUGAUAAAGGAUUUUAGAAGGAAUUAUAAGCAAGCUUUUAGAGCAUUUGUCUUGAUGAACUAAGGCCUGUUGAUAGGUUCGCUUGUGUCACAGUAACAGAUCUUGCUUGGAAUGUUGAUUGCAUUGCAAAGAUCCUUUCAAAGCAUGCGUGGUCGAGAAAUUAGUUUUGACAAGAUUAGUCUUCAAUUUGGCACGCGACAUCCAAGACUUAUUCAAGAUGACAUUAUUCAAGACUUUUGUAAUAUAGUUUUAUUAGUUUGGGUGUAGAUUUAAAUGUGAUUUGUAAAUGAGUAAUGUUAAAAUAAUUGUUUUAAUGUAAAAAUUUAAAUUGUUAAAUGAGAUUUGACACUACCAGAAAAUCAGCGAAAACCAACAGAAUUACCGACAUAAUUUUUUGUUCCGUCUCUAAUUUUGUUGGUAUGUACCGAUAGAAAAUACCCGUUAGCAAUAAGGUUGGUAUAUACCGAUGGAGUACGUCUGUCGAUAUAUAUCGAUUGUAUCGCCGAUGAAUUAUAUAGUUUUUUUUGAAAAGUUGCAACUGUGUAAUGACGUGAAUUUUUUUUAAGAUGAUUUUACCGAUGGAAUGACCAAGGGCUUCAAACAGAAUGUUCGUACAGUGACGUGGCACAGUCACUGGCGGACUCACCGAUGGGUAUACCGAUGGAACGUGUCCGUCGGUGAUUCCAUCGUCAACAAUCGAUAUAUACCCACUCUGCCGACACUCUAUUUCUCCUUCUUUUUCCCUAUCUUCUUCCUCAUCCCACCUCUCCCCUCUCGAACUGCAGCCAACCACCCAUCACAACUCUCCCCCUCUUCUUAACACAAGCACUCAAGUUUCUUAUACUUUCGUACGUGGUCACAACAUCCAUUCUUGUGGAUUUUAUCAUUUUUUGUAAGUAAAUCUAUCCUUUUUAGUCUUAACAUUUAAAUGUGAAUUAUUUUUUUUAGUAUAUGUUUUUUUGUUAACGUAUGUACUUGUUUGAUUGUUAUUUAUCAAAUAAACUUGUAGUAUGAAUGUAUGAUUUUGUAGUUGUUAUAGUUUGUUUUAGAUUUUGUCAAAUUAUAUUUGUUUGUAAAUUGUUGAAACUUUGUUUGAAUUACACCAAAUUAGAUGCAUUGUGAUGAAAUAAAAAAUAGUUUGUUUAACGGUUCCAUUUUAAUUUUUAUCAAUUCUAUUGCGAAGUUGUAAUUUCCAUAAAUUUAUAUGCACGUUGAUAGUUGAUAAUGAAUAUUUAACAUAAGUGUUUUUUUAGUUUGUUGGAUAAUGUCGGGGCAAACGAAUAUUUUGUUAUGUUUAUUUAGGUAACAUAGUUAAUUAAUACAUGUUGUCGUCAUAAUUUUAUAGAGGUUUGAUAGAAGUCAUGGAUGUAUCGGGACUUACCCCAAGGAUUGCAGAGGAUGGAUUAUUGUAACGGGGUUCAGGAUUUUAUUAAUUUCACAACAUCUAUCCCGAUAAAUUUUACUAAUUGCGGUAUUAGGUGUCCAUGCACGAAGUGUAAAAAUAAAAAUUUUUGCAUCAAGAUGUUGUAACGAUGCAUCUUCUACCCAAAGGUAUGCACACCGAGAACUAUUUGUUCCUAAUGAGAGCAUGGUAGAAAGGGUGGUUGGGUCAACUUCUAGUGCUAGCAACAUGCAUGAAGUUGGAAAUGACAACAGUAAUCCUUAAAGGAACAUGGUUAUGGAUGCAAUGAGAAGGAGUGAAUGUAAUGUCAGUGAAUGUCCAAUCAUGGAAGAAGAACCUAAUAUAGAUGCAACAAGGUGUUUUAACCUGUUGAAAAAUUCUGACGAACCAUUAUUGGAUGGCUGCACAAACCACAUUAAAUUAUCGGUUGUAGCGCAGGUGUUCACCAUCAAGUCAUAUCACAAGUUGAGUGAGACCGGUUAUGACAAGAUUAUCGAAUGGGCAAGAAUCAUUUUACCUGAAGGGAACAAGUUGAAAGAGAACUUCUAUGCUGCCAAGUCCAUGAUGAAACCCCUUAGUUUAUGCUACCAUAAAAUUGACAUGUGCCCUAACUUCUGCAUUUAUACUACCUUGAAAAUGCUGAGCUGACGGAGUGCAUGACAAGUGGGCAUUCCUGUUAUAAACCCAGAACUGGUAGAGGAAAGACUCUCGUGGCAUAUAAAAAACUUAGAUACUUCCCAAUCACACCUAGACUGUAGAGGUUAUUCAUGUCACCAAGGACUGCUGAGCAUAUGACAUGCCACCAGUCACAUCAUGGGGUUAAUGGAGUGAUGGUGCACCCUUCUGAUGGCGAAGCAUGGAAACACUUUAACAUUGUGCAUCCUUACUUUUCAGCUGAAUUAAGGAACAUGCGUCUUGGGUUUUGUACAGACAGAUUCAACCGAUUUGGGUCAUUUGCUGCUCCUUAUUCUUGUUGGCCGGUAAUACUGAAGGUUUAUAACUUGCCACCGUGUAUGUGCAUGAGGCCGGAGUUCAUGUUUUUAUAUAUGGUUAUACCAGGUCCGAGCAGUCCGGGGUGGAAUAUAGAUGUUUGUCUUCGAUCAUUGAUUGAUGAGUUACCGUAGUUGUGGUUCUCUAGAGCUUUGACUUAUGACAUCUCGAGGAAACAUAAUUUUGUUAUAAGAGCGGCUUUGUUGUGGACUAUUAAUGAUUUCCUAACUUAUGAAAUGUUUUAUGGUUGGAGCACUCAUGGAAAACUAGCAUGUCCAUACUGUGUCGAGAACAAUAAGGCAUUCACGCUAACAAACAAGGGUAAAGCUUCUUUUUUUUACUGUCACCGUCGUUUCUUGCCACUGAAUCAUAGGUACAGAAAGAACAUAAAGGAUUUCUUUGUUAGUAGAGUUGAAAAGGAUGUUGCACCCCUAUGUCUUCUGGUGAAGAAUUGCAUGAUGUUGUGUCAGAGUAUGGUGACAUUGUGUUUGGUCUCCAAUCAGGUAAGCAGAAGUUUCCUGGUUUUGGUUUGACCUAUAAUUGGGUGAAGCGAAGUAUCUUUUGGGAGCUUCUUUAUUGGAAGACCAAUCUUCUUCGCCAUAACCUUGACGUCAUGCACAUUGAAAAGAACGUGUUUGAGAACAUUUUCAACACCGUCAUGGAUGUGAAGGGGAAGACAAAGGACAACAUCAAGGCUAGAUUAGAUGUAGUGUUGUUCUAUAACCAUAAAAAUAUAGAGUUGGUUUGUGAUGGGUCACGGGUCGCAAAACCAAGAGCAAGCUUCGUGUUAGAGAAAAACGCACAACUACUAGUCUAUAAAUGGCUUAAGAGUCUGCGUUUUCUUGAUGGACAUGCCUCGAACAUAUCAUGACUGGUUAAUACGAAGGAAUGCAGAUUAUAUGGAAUGAAGAGUCAUGACUGCCAUGCGUUAAUGCAAACACUCAUCCCAUUAGCUUUUCGUGAUUUGUUGCCAAAGGGGAUAUGGGAUGCACUAAUGGACAUCAGUCAUUUCUUCAGAGAUAUAUGCUCCAAUAAAUUGAAUGUUGAUCACAUUGAAAAGCUUGAAACGAAUAUCGUCGAGACAAUAUGCAAACUUGAGAUGAUAUUCCCUCCAUCUUUUUUUGACUCAAUGAAGCAUCUACCCAUACAUUUACCGUUUGAGGUAAAAGUUAGAGGACCGGUCCAAUACAGAUAGAUGUAUCCAUUCGAGAGGUUAGAUAUUAUAGUUGCUAUGUAAUUCAUAAAAUGUUUUUUCAUUUUUUUAAUUGAUAAUAUUUUUAUUAAUUCUAUAUAUAUAUAUAUAUAUAUAUGUGUAUGCAUGCAUGCAGGUACUUGUUCAAUCUUAAAAAAAGGUUAAGAACAAGGCACAUGUUGAGGCGUCAAUAUAUGAGGCCUAUAUUGUUGAGGAGAUCUUAAUAUUUAUCUUAUACUAUUUCGAACCUUAUUUGAAAUGAGGAUCAACCAUGUUCCACGGCAUGAUGAUGGUGGUGGAGUGCUUUCAAGUGGAAACUUGUCAAUAUUCUCUAAUCUUGGACAACCCACACCUAAAAAUUCCGUGAGGGGAAGAUAUUUGUCUAAAAUAGAGUCCAGACAAUCACACAAUUAUGUCUUAUUUAACUGUGAUGAGCUGAGACCUUUUAUUAAGUAAGUAGAUGUUCGACUUAAACUUUGUCAAGAGUGUACUAUUUAUAUAUUGUGAUACCAUAAACUCAUAUAAGUUGGAACAACCUUGCAGGCAACAUCGACGAUACUUACUGUAAAAAAACUUACAGCUAACCAAAUCCUAGAUCUUUUAAUUACAAGAUGAACAAUUUGCCAUGUGGUUUAGAACACAUGUAAGUCCUAUCAUAAACUCAUUAUCUCUUGCAAUGUAUUAUUGUUGUAUUUGAUAUAUAAGGUUUAUCAAAUGGGAGGUAGUGCUGCUAUUUCACUGUCUUUACUAAGCUCGGGCUCUAAAAGAAAAGUCAAGUGCUGUAACGGGUAUUUUGUCAAUGGAUGUCUUUCAUACUGAAGAAUACGGGCAUGGAAGAAAGACAUACAAUAGCGGUGUUUGUAUUAAGGGAUCGACUUCGAGUGAGUUUGAAGUUGACUACUACAGUAGAUUGGAUGAGUGAUUAGUACUUAAAAGUGCAUUUUUAUCAAGGUUUUAUAUCAUCAUUUUGCACUUGAAGUAUCAAUAACUACUUAACUAAAGCAUGUUUUAUAAUAACAUACCUAAUAAUAUAAGAUACCUUUAAUUUAUGGUAAAUGUUCAUCUUAAAUUCAGGCCUAUCACAUAAAUGAAAGGAUUGAUUUAUGAGUUUAAGUAUUGAAAUUGAAAGGACAAAGAGAUGGCCAAACUUAGAAAAGAGAUGUUGAUGCAGUCUAAACUGGAAUACUAUUUGGUAAUUGGGUCAUAUCUCGAGUUUUAAAUGUCCAAAUGACCUAAAUAUUUUGGACAUAUUCGGUAAGACAUAGGCCUAAAACUUUCAUGUGGAGUCCAAGAUUUAAAAAGGUCAUUUUCAAGUCUGAAUUAUAGCAACAACGGAGAAGUCUGAAUCUGUCCUGCAGCCCAAACACUGUUCAAUGUUCAGCCCAUAUCUUGAGUUCUAGAAGUCCAAAUGACCUCAAUUGUUUUUUUUAGGAAAGAUAAUACAAUUUCCUAUAACUUUCAUCAGUACAUGUGGUUCUAGUUCUGAUGCUAGCCAUGAAAUUUUAUUCAGACAAGAAGAUAAAAGAUUUUCACCAAGUCAAGAGUUGGCCACCCACUCAACAAUUAGUCAUCAAAUCAAUAGUUCCAAAUUUUGGCCUAUAAAAGGAGGCAUUUGCCAUGCAUUUAAGGGCUUGGUUGUUUAGAUCAAGAACUUGCUCUUGCUCUCUCUCUCUCUAUAUAUAUAUUUCUUUUGUAAUUCUUAAGUUUUGCUUUCAUUAAUAUCUUUUUAUGCUUUUCAUUUCAUUUCCUUUACUUAGUUAACUUGUAUCUUGUUUAUGUUCUUAUUUUGUUUAUUUAUGUUUCUCUUCUUCAUUAUGUUUGUCGCACCCCAAAAAAAAUCCGAAGCGCGGCAUCGACUGGCGAUUAUUCGUUUUGUUUUGUUGAUUUGGUUCUUUGGAGUCGCCACCUAGUAAUUCAUUGAGGGCUACUAGGAAACCUGAUGUACUGGUCUUGUCAGAGAUCGCGGGUAAGGGACUGGUUGUGGUUAGGGAAGGUAUUAGCACCCCUAACGCACCUUACCUGAGGUAAGCUGCUUUGUGGACUUGAUGUGUUAAAGAAGCUUUAAAAAUUCUGUUCUUUCAUCGAAUUUUAGAAAAUACAACUUACAUGUAAGUUCAUGAUUCUUUAUCCGUGAUUAAAUCAUAAUAUUAAAUUCUUCUUUAUUCUUGCAAUUUUAUCAUAAUAAAAAAACAUUCAUAAACAAAAAUACACACCACAUUCACUUUCAAGCUUCGUGGACUUGAUGUGAUUUUAAAAACAAAAUUUUAGCCCAAUUCUAAGGCUUUGAUAAAUCAGUUAUUACUUUUCCAGAUUUAUAUGUAGAUACAUGUUCUACAUUUUCAUGGAAAAUUCAACAUGAUUUUUAUCUGUCCUUUAGAUAUUUGUGCAUAUAAAUUAAAUUCCUUUUUUUAUUAUUCAAUAACAUACAUAAAAAAAAUACAAACACACACAAACAUUUUUUUUUUUAUUUCUUUUAUUUCUUUUCUUUUUUUUUCUUUUCUUUUACAUCACAAUACAAAUACAAAUCCAAAUUCAAAAAAAAAAAACUAAAUAAAAAAUUACAUGAAUUAAUUUAAAAUUUACAAAAUAGUCCCUAAACUCCCAAAAUUGUAGGGAAGCCCUUCAUACAUGCCGAAACAGUGCCGGCGCGUCUGGUCCAUGCGCCACCGCCACUAGCGGCGCGUGGACCCACGCGCCGCUGAGAACAGACCCGCACACCAGCUGGAUCUGGCUCUACUCCGUCUCCUCUUCCCUUCUGCACUGGCAGUGAGGGGGCAACAACACCUGCAGAACCAAAGAAAAUCACAUCCAGUCGAUUUUAAUUUUUCGGGUCUAGAUCCAAGGAUCUGUUUUUUUUCUUCUCCUUUUCAGGUCUGCAUCACUACAGAACCUUCGUUUGUUUAUAUCUCCUUCUCCUUCACUUAAGAUGGCCGGCAGCUGGGUGGCGCUGCAGUGUUUAGAGGGCGGCGGUGAAUCAGUGGGGCUGUUCCUGACUGGUCGGUGAACCUGUGGCCGCCGUGUCUCAGCUGCAGUUCGCAACUGCUGAAGGGGUCGGCGGUGAGGGAAUGGACGGAUGGCAGAUCUGAUGACCGGAGCUGCGGGUGCAGCCGUGCGUGUCUCAGCCGUGCAGCCGGAGGAGCUGCAGACGACGUCUGCUUCGGUCUCUGAUGGGGAAAGAGACGCUACUGUUGGCCUGUGGGUUGGAGAUCGGUGGCGGCGGCUGCGGUGAGAGGAGCUGCUGUGUUUGGCCGGUUGGAGAAGAAACAGGGGCCGGCAUGCAGGGGAGGUUGGUGUCGGCUGGGAGAAGAAAAAAAAAAUGGCUUCGGGGUGGAGCUGUGUGUGGGGGAAGGAAGAAGAGAAAAAUCAAAAAUCAAAGGGGUGGGGGGCCCCGGCGUUUUGCCUCUCGUGAGGGAGAAGAAGAAAAGUUUCAAACCUGCGGUUUGCUGGCGGCUCCGGAUGGGUGAGGGAGAAGCUAUGCUUGCUGGCGAGAAGAAGGAAAAAAAAAUCUGAUGAGGGGGGCUGGGGAGGCGCCGGCCUGGCGGCUCAGAAAAGAAAAAAAAGCUUGUAGGGUUUUUCUUUGUGUUUUUGGUUCCCUCUCCCCAAAAUUACCAAAUGACCCCCCCCUUUUUUUUUGAGUUUUCAACCUAUAUUUAUAGGUAAAAGUUUGUUCAAACCUCCAAAUUGGUCCCUCAACUUUCUUUUUUUGUAAAUUUUGAUUUUUCUUGUUUUUUUCUUGUAUUUUUAAAAACGAGCAAAAUCAACGUCAAUUCUAUGAGAAAAAUUACGAUUUUAAAAUGACGCGUGAAAAGUCGAACGCGUUCGAAAAAACAAUUGAAAAUUAAAAUUAUUUUUAAAAGACGUUGAAAAUGCUAAAAACAUUGCAAAUAUAUUAAAAACAUUUUUUUUUUGGAUUUUUGUUGUUUUUCACUAUUUUUGGAUUUUUUUGAAAAAAUUAUUAAAAAGGUGGGUCAAAAAUUGGGUAACAACAAUGUUUAACUAAGUUUAUUAUGUCAAAGUGAAAAGGUUACACUAAUAGUGUAAGAAUAAGUAUGGUGUAAACUCAACAUGGACCUUAAUGUUUAAUAUUAACAUGUCUUAUCUUUUUAUCUUACUAAUUCUUAAUACCUUGCUUGUUAAAUGGUUAAUCUAGAUUUGUGUUGUAUAACACUUGGUACAACAAAUGCUUGGCACUCUCAUAGCCCAACCGUAUGAUAUUACCUACACAUGUGCUAUGAAUGGAACUUGAUUUGUUGUCAACAUAAGUUAGCAUCAUGAAUUCCUUAAAAUAUUUCAAAUUUUGGUGUUACGUAAAUAAAAUAAUUAAUAUGAUGAUGUUAACAAUUUAUAAUGAGCUAUUAAUAACAAAUCAUCUGAUUGGAACCUCCUUUGUGUGUGGUUAUCAAUUGAGUAAUAAGAGUUUAUACUAUACUUGUUUGAAAUACCAUUAGUGGAUCCUCUAACCUUGAUAUUUGUGUUCAUUAUUGUUUAAUCCUUACAUUAAUCUUCCAUCUCAAAGUUCUCAUCAACUUCUUCUUUACUACUACUACUACUACUAUUACUACUACUGUUGUUGUUGUUGUUGUUGUUGUAUUAUUGUUGUCUAUAAUUUAUACAAUUAACCUUCUUGUGGUUCGACCCCGGUCUUUCCAGGUUAUUUAUUACUUUGACACUCUUGCACUUGGGAGAAGACAUCAAUCUUUUAGUCGUGUCAAGUUUUUGGCGUCGUUGCCGGGGAGGUAAAUUCUUGUACAAAUUAUAGUAUUUAUUUUAUUUUCUCUUUUCACUUUUCUUGUAUUUAACUUUGUUUCUUUUCUUUUCUUUUGUUUCUUUUUCUUUUGUUUACUUUUUCCUUUUAUUUUCUUUCUACACGUGCAUGAGUGUUUGGUCACGUACAGUAAGUGGUAGACUUUGUAUGGUAUCCUCAUCAUUUUCAGAAAAUAUGACCGAAGAAAAUAACCAAUCACUUCAUAAUGAGAAUAACCAAGUUAGAACACUUAGAGACCACAUGAAUCCCACAAAAACAAGUGUACCCUCAUGCAUAGUUUUCCCUCCUGAUGCAUCUCAUUUUAAUUUUAAGCCAGACAUUAUUCAACUUUUACCUUCUUUUCAUGGCUUAGAUCUAGAAAAUCCAUACUUGUAUUUGAGAGAAUUUAAAGAAGUUUGUAACACCUAUAAUGACUUAAAUUGUAGCAUGAAUACCAUUAGAUUAAAGCUUUUUCCUUUUUCAAUAAAAGAUAAAGCUAAAAAAUGGCUACAAAAUCUUAUAUCAGGAUCCAUUAGUGCUUGGGAUGAAAUACAACAACAAUUUUUAAAGAAGGUUUUUUCAUCUCACAAAACUAACUCUUUCAAAAGACAAAUCACCACUUUCACUCAAAAACCUGGUGAAACAUUUUACCAAUGUUGGGAUAGUUAUCGAGACUUGCUUAAUACUUGCCCUCAUCAUGGUUUUAAAACAUGGAGAUUGGUUUCAUAAUUUUAUGAAGGGUUAACACCUAAAGAUAGGCAAAUGGUUGAAUUGAUGUGCAAUGAAACUUUUGAAGAUAAAGACCCUAAUGAAGCAAUGGAGUACCUAGACUUGCUAGCUGAAAAUGCGUAAAAUUGGGACACUACGGGCACUUAUGAGGCACCAAGUAAAACCCAACUUCAUACAUCUAGUGGAGGUAUGUAUAACCUUGGGGAAGAUCAUGACCUCCAAGCCAAGUUUGCAUCUUUAACCAGAAAAGUUGAGGCACUAGAAUUGAAAAGGAGUGGUCAAUUAAAAUCUGUUCAAGACAUUGUGUGUCAAAUCUGUGAAACAAAUGAACAUGCAACCAAUGACUGUCCAACUUUGCCUUCUUUCAAGGAAUGCCUCCAUGAACAAGCUCGUGCUUUAAACAGUUUUCAAAGGCCCAAUCAUAACCUAUACUCGCAAACAUACAACCCUGGUUGGAGAAACCACCCAAAUUUAAGUUGGAAGAGUGAUAAUAAUAAUGCACAAACUUCAUAGCCAUCGUUUCAAGCACACUAUAAUUUUCAAAAUUCUCAUGGAUAUGCACCUCCUUGUUGUAACCCAUUUUUGGGUCUUCACCUAAAAAAUACAAAAAAAUUCAAAAAAAUAUAUUAUCAAAAAAUAUAACAGUGAAAAAAAAAUGCCAAAGCGCCUUAAAAAUAUUCAAAAAUUGAUUAAGGAUGUUCAAAAAAAUUAAAAUUAAAAUUUGACAGUAUAUCAUUGACUGAUGCAAGCCCCGAUGAUAAAGAAAAUUCAAUUUGAGGAAGAAAAAUGCAAAAUUAGAAGUUUAUGGACUCAAUUAAAUUUUAUUGAAGGUUUAAUUGAAUUUAUAGAGGUUUUAAUUGCAAAAACAAUUCAUUUUUGAGUUAUUUUGGGCUUUAAUUGGAAGAAAUUAAUUUUCUGGGGUCAAAUUAUAAUUUUUGGAAGUUAAUUUGGUCAAAUCAGGGGCUUAAUUGCAUAAAUAUUGAAGUUUAAUGGCCAAUUAGGGACUAAAUUGAAGACAUCCGAGACCAAGGACGACAUUGUAAAACGCGCGCAAUUUGAGGGCCUUCUUUGAAAUCUGACGCAUUUUGGCGCCUUUUUCUUUUAAAUGAAACGGCGCAUUUUGACCAAAACGGCGCCGUUUCAUUCACUGUUGCAAAAAAAAAAUAAAAAAAUAAAAUAGAAGCCCUAAACGGCGCCGUUUUGACGGCACUGUAGGUCUUCUUCUUCCCCUGGACGCGCGAGGCAGGGGAAGAAGAAGAUUUUUCUUCUCCCUUUUCGCCUAACUUCUUUCCCCGUUUUUACGCAAUAAGACGCCCACCAUUCGACGCCCACUUGCCUCCUUUUUAUCCGUUGAACGGAUAGUGGAGGGGCGGCCAACAGUGGCCGCCCUACCACCAUUGCCCCCCCUGUUUUUGCCUAUAAAAACAGGGGAGGACCGAAGAAAAAGAGAAGGAGAAGGAGAAGGAUUGCACGACAGAAAGAGGGUAGAGAGAGACGAGAGAAACAGAAAAAAAAAGAAAAAAAGAAGAAGGAAGAGAUUCGGCAGAGAAGAGAACAAAAACAGAGAAGAGAGAGAGAAGGAAAACCACCGGCCACCGUGCCUCCGCCUCCAGCAACACCGCCUCGACGCCACCGCAGUAACCAGCCUGUUUGGGCCUGGGCUGGGCCGUCGGCCCAGCCCAUGUAAAUAGGCUUGGUCGGCCCGGCCCAUGCAUUUGGGCCGGGUCCGGCCCAUUUUUAUUUUUUUCUUUUAUUUCUUUUAUUUUUUUAUUUUUUGUUUGUUAUAAUUUAUUUAUAUUUAUUUUUUUAAUAUCGUCUUUAUUAUUUUACAUCGUAAAAAUAUAAAUCCGGUAUUAAAAUACCCCGUUUUUGUCCCGUGGUACUGUUCACCCGGCCCAUUAAUUUAAAACAUCAUCAAAAAUAUUUUUUUUCAUUUAUAAUUUUUCCGCAUAGUUUUUAUGUCAUUUGGAUUAAUAUCAGACAAUAUUUUUAUGUCGUAAAAUACAAAUCCGGUACUGAAAUACCCGGUUUUCGACUUUCAAGAAUACAAAAACAAAUUAACAAAAAACAUGUUUUUGUGCAUACGGCCAAAUGUCUCAAAAAAAAAAAUCAUUUUGUAUUUUUCAUACAAAAAAAAAAACAAUGUUUUAGCAUGCAUUUUGACUUUAAUAACCAGUUUAUUAAAGUCAAGAGAAUAUUGCCCAAAAUUUCAAAAACAACAAAAACAUUUAUUUUGUUUAUCUUUUAAUAUCCGGGGUAUGACAUUAUACGUAAUACAUAUUCCAGAUAUUUAAUUUAUUAUUAUAUUUUUUUAAUAGAACUUGGGAUAUGACAUUACAUGUAAUGCAUAUUCCGAACAAUAAUAAAAAAAAAAACCACAAACACGACCUUAGAUUUUAUCAGACAUUAAAACAAUGCAGCCUACCUUAGGUAGGGCGUAGUUGGGGUGCUAAUACCUUCCCUUUACGCAACCAGUCUCUGUACCCCGAUCUCUAAAGACCAGUUAAGGUUCCUAGUAACCAGAAUACUAGGUGGCGACUCCCAGUCCAUUUUUUUUUUACAUAUAGAGACAAGAAUUCCUUGUCUCUCCUUAUGUUCCAGGAAUAAAUAUUUCGAUUUUUCCUUGAGGGUGGACGAUCGCCAUCGCCGCGGCGCCACACACGUGCGACAUAAUGGCGACUCCGCUGGGGACCUUGUGGACUAAGCUUUGUUUUGUCUGAUUUUUUUAUAUAUAUAUUCUUUUUUCUUGUGGUUUGCAUGUUUAUUUUUAAUAUUUUAAUAUGCAUUUUCUUUAUUUUUAUUGCUUACGUGCUUUAAUUCAUGUACAUAUAUAUGUCAAUGCUUUAAUUUAUUGAAACGAAUACACAAGCCUUUAAGUUAAGUGGGGAAUUAACGAUCUGCCCUAUGACUAUUGGUCGGGUUCAGAUGCGUGAAACACCCAACUCAUAUCUGAGUGUCUGCUUGGUAAUGGUGGGCAUACGUGCUUUAACUGUUCCUUGCAACGCCCCCAUUACUACCUUUACGAAGGCCGUCACUGGGCAGAUAUGAGACCUUUUUUGAGACUAGGUAGAAAACCUACCUUUUUUUUGUCUCACAAAAUGAUUAGAACGUAACCUUAGGAUUUUUAUUACUUUACAGUCUUAUAUAUUACUUUCCUGUUAUUUGCAUUUGCAUUUAAUCAUGUAACAAUCAUCAUUAUAGGUUGAACUGAAAUCAUGACUGAGUAUCAAUCUUUUCACAAGUUUGGGCAAGAAUCUGAGCUGACCCAGGUAGCUGAAGGAAACUGUCCAAGAAUCAAUAUCAGUACAUUACCCGAGAUUACCAAAAUAAAUCACACAAUCAAUGACUUGGAGAAAAUAUGGCCCAUAAUGAGAUAUGUUGACGAUACACUUUUCGAAAGGCGAUAUGGAAGAAUUGCUCAAUUAAUGAGGCUACCCUUACAAACAACAGCAAUCAAAGCCCUAGUAACCUUUUGGGAUCCUAGUUAUCGAUGUUUUACUUUUGGGAGCAUAGAUAUGACACCUACCUUGGAGGAAUAUGAGAGGAUCCUGGAUUUUCCAAACAAAAGCCACAGAAUUUACCUCAGACGAAAUUUUGAAGGCACAGCCGCGGAGGUGAUAAAGAUGUUAGGCCUGGGAAUGAUCAGUCAAUGCAGAAUAGCUAAUGGGGGUUUUAAAUGGAAGGUCAUUGAAGCUAGGAUGAAGAAAAAUUCUGAGGAAGGCAGAUUAGGAGACGAACGAUACCGAUUGGUGGCUUUUGCUAUUUUUGGCCUCGUAUUGUUUCCGUCUGAAAUUGGGGUCAUCAGCUUGGAAGCCGCAAGCAUAUUUUUAGAAUAUGAGUAUGAUCAGAUCAAUCCCUCUUCAGCAAUUUUGCCGAAACCAUGUUGUCACUCAACCAUUGCAGAAUAAAUGGCAAGGGGGUAAUGAGAUGUUGUGUCCCUAUGUUAUACUUAUGGAUUAUCAGUCAUAUUGAGACACCAAGGGACAUCUUCAACAACUUCUGGUGGUUCGACCUUCGACCAUUGAAAGUUACAAUAGAAGAGACUUGGAGACAUUGGGAUGAGAAAGCAUGGAUAAAGAAGUAUUCUACACUACCACAAAGCAACUUCAAAUGGAAAGCACCAUGGAUGAACAACACAGUCUGUAUAAUGAGUUGUGGAAGUAAGGAUGGGUUUCCCCUAUUGGUGUAACGGGAUACAUCAGUUAUGCCCCAGCAUUGGUAACAAGACAGUUAGGUGGAAUGCAGUAUGCACCAAGAACUCUGGGUUUAGCAGAUUUCAUGGGAUUAUUCAAACAUCAACCAUACCUCAAAGAAAUGGAACUCAUUCGACAAGACUGGGAAAGGCCUGUUCUGGUGAAAAGGGAAGAAGGCAGCAUGUUUGACUCAUCUAUCAGUCAGAAUUAUGCAAGUUGGAGAAAUGGAAAGCUUCUUGAGGUAAUAGAGUCUUCAACACAUGAGCAUCUUGAGUCAAUAAUGGAGCAUCCAAAAAGAAAAAGGACUCUUCAUGAGGAGGAACUAAGAAGACAGUUGGAGAGUUGUGGCACAGACCUCGGCAAAAGCAAAAGACAGCAACAAGUCCUGGAAAAACAAGUAGAAGAAGAAAAUAUGAUGAGGAAUUGCUUAAAACAACAACUCGAAGAGAAAGAGGAGCAACUAAUAUCUUGCAAACAAUGGCAGAAAAGAGCAGAGAUAGCUGAAGCAAUAGCCAAAGGAAGCCAGGAGGAGGUGAAAGAUCUCAUAAGUGCAAAUGACAAACUGAGUCACAAAAAUGGGAUCACAGAAAAAGAAUUGAUCAAGAUAAAGAAAUCAAUAAAAAGCAAGAUAAUUACAGAUAAAGAGACAUUGGACUCUUUGAAGAAAGAAAGGAGCGGUUUCAUAAGAAAGAUAAGAAUUGAAAAAGAGAAGAAUCGACAAGUCCACCCCGACAUAGAAGAAGAAAGAAGAGUACGUGCCCAAUAUAUGGUACAGUUGGAGGAAGAGAGAAGUAUGAGAAAGACUGCCGAGGUGGAUAGAAGAGAUUACCAGAAAAGGGCUGAGGAUUCAAAAGAGAAGAUAAUGAUUCUACAAUCUGAGUUGGAAAUACAAGAAAAGCGGCUAAGAAGACAUUAUGGUGAAGUAGAAAAAGAGUUACAUGAGCUGAAGCAAGUGCGCCAGGAAUGUCAAGAUAUUGACAGGUUUACAAUUCAAAUGAACUCCAAAAUCGCUGAGCUAGACAUUGCAAGAGAAGAAUUACAAAGAGUCAGGACUACAUUAACAUUGUUUGAGACAAUGGUCCGAACAUUGGAAAGGAGCAAUGAAGUGAUAAUCACCGAUAACGCCUUGUUGCAUGCAAAAAUAAGACAUAUGACGAAACAGAUUGGGCAAGUGGCUCGUUAUGCGGAGAGGAUGAUGCAACAAGCUACCCAAGUUGGAAAUAGUGUUACAAAAUAUCGAGAAUAUAUGGGGGCUCUCAUUUCAUUUGUUGAAGACUUAGCUGAUAAGGGGGAUGCCUUGUAAAAUAGUUUUUGUAUUAAGUGCUGUUGAUUUAUACCUUUUUGUACAAGCUUCAAUUUCGUUAUAAAAAGGUUAUAACCUAUCUUUCUUUCCACUUGAAUGUUAUAACCUAGUUCAUUAAAAUAUACAUACGCAUCCUACUUGCAUCAUACAUUUGUUUAUAAUAUGUCAUUUGCAUACCGAAGUUGAAACAUAGGUCCCCCACAUAAGGUCCAUUACACUAGAUUCAGAACAAGAAUGGAACACGAAGAGAGGGCUCACCUAGAAUCCCGCUACCAGAGCGAGCUAGAAUUAGUGAAAAGUGAAGUGUCACGGAUGUCUAAUCUGCUUGAACAACUGUUAAAAGCAAAAAGUGGGGAGGGAACAUCCACCCAGCCAGUUACGAGUUCACCCGUAUCGCACAUUCCCAUAGCAUCACCAAUUCUGGGGGCAGAUUCAGUAACAGAACAACAUUUUGCGCCAGCCAUCCCUAUCCGGCCAGCUCACACGCUACCCACCGUGGAUUUAACGACGGACGGCCUGUUGAUAGUAGGUCAAGCAAUUUUCAUAAGCCAAGAUAAAAUAUCUGCAUUAGAGGAACGGUUGAGAGCUGUAGAAGGAAAUGAUUGGUUUGACCCAACACGAGCAGCUGAUGUAUGUUUGGUACCAAACAUCGUGGUACCAAAAGAUUUCAGGAUCCCGUAAUUUACCAAAUAUACAGGCUUAGAGUGCCCAAACACGCACCUAAGAUCUUACUGCAACAAGAUGGCUGAAGUGAUCCAUAAUGAUAAAAUGCUGAUAUUUUUUUUUCAGGAUAGUCUAUUAGGCUCUGCUUUAAAUUGGUAUAUGAGGUUGGAAACUGUUAAAAUUAAGACAUGGAAAGAUUUGGUGGAGGCUUUCCUCAAACAGUAUAAAUUUAACCUGGAAAUAGCCCCAGACCGAACAAGCUUGAUGUCCAUGGAAAAGAGAAGCCAAGAGACAGUCAGGGUGUAUGCACAAAGAUGGCGAGAUGAGGCGACACAUGUCCAACCUCCUUUAAUCGAAACAGAGAUGGUGACUUUAUUCGCUAAUACUUUUAAAGCACCUUACUAUGAGCAUUUAAUGGGCAGCUCAUCUCAACAUUUUUAUGAUGUUGUACGAGUAGCAGAGAGAAUAGAGCAAGGCAUUAAAGCCGGACGCAUACCGGAGCUUCUAGAGAAAAAGGGAUUUUCCGGAAGAAGAAGGGAAGGAGAUGUUAACAACUUAGAGGGAGGGUAUAAAGGCAAAAGGGUAAAUUACCCAAACCUAGGAACAUCUACCCCCCAAUUCACCAACAUGAACUUUACCAAACCCUUGUCCCCAAAUCCAACCAACCGAAUAAAUCCCCCACCUAAUAUCCAAAACAACUAUCAAAAGCCAUAUACCAGAUAUACUUCUGAGCAAUUACCUCCAUUACCAAUGCCUUUAAAAGAUUUAUACGCUAAAUUGCUAAGCAUUGGGCAAAUAACCCCAAUCCAUCUACCGCAAAUCCAACCGCCUUUUCCUAUGUGGUACAAACCAGAACUCUCUUGCGAAUACCAUGCCGGUAAUUCUGGGCAUGCAAUUGACACUUGCUACGCUUUUAAAAGGAAGUUGUUAGAACUCAUCAAAAUGGGGUGGGUAUCAUUCGAAGAUCCACCUAAUGUCAUUUCAAAUCCAUUACCUAAACAUACUGCUAGUAGUUCUGGAGUGGGCAUGAUAGAGAUUGGCAAUCAAGGCCAAAUGUUGAAGGUAUCCAUGAAGAGGAUAUACGAUAUGUUGUUACAAUCAGGAUUCCUAAACAUAAGCACUACAUGUCAGUUGGGAAGUGAUAACUAUUGUGAGUUCCACAGGAUGGAGGGACAUCAUAUCGAAGAUUGUGUCAAGUUUCGCCAGAAGGUUGCAAAGAUGCUACUCAUGGGAGAAUUGAGACUCGAAACCCUGGGGGCAACCAGGAGGUGAGUAUGAAGAGUUCAACCUAUGGCUAAUGGGUUCUCAAAGCUGAUCUUGACUAAACCUUCCUUUACAAAAAGAGAUCACAGUGCAAUGCCAUAUAACUAUGUUUGUACCUCGAACAUUCAAGCCCCUCUCCCUUUAUUUCAUUCUGAGGUUAGUGGGCUAACACGGAGUGGCCGCUGUUUUACACCUGAGGAGUUGAAGAAGGCCAAAGGCAAAGAAAUGGUGGAUCUUGAUAAAGAAGUAGAGGUGAAUGAGCCAGUAACAGAGAAGGAGUCGAAUGAAUUUCUCAGGUUGAUCAAGCAUAGUGAGUAUUCCAUAGUGGAUCAACUCAAAAAAACUCCAGCAAGGAUAUCUCUCAUGUCCUUGAUACUAAGCUCGGAGCCUCAUCGAAAUGCCUUACAAAAGGUACUGAACGAGGCAUAUGUCCCCCAGGACAUUGAACAAAACACCAUGGAGCAUUUGGUAGGGAGGAUCCACGCUUCAAAUUACCUAUAUUUCACGGCUGACGAACUCAGUGCUGAAGGAACUGGGCAUAACAAGCCAUUGUAUAUCACCGUGAAAUGCAAAGAUUUCCUUAUUGGAAAGGUGCUUGUUGAUAACGGCUCGGCUCUUAAUGUAUUGCCCAAAUAUAUACUGAAAGAAAUGCCAGUUGAUGAGUCUCAUAUGAAGCCUAGCACUAUAACGGCAAGAGCAUAUGAUGGCUCACCUAGACCAGUCCUUGGGAAUUUAGAGGUCGAGCUGUAUGUGGGUCCACAAAUGUUCCUAACCACAUUCCAAGUUAUGGAUAUCCACCCUUCUUAUAGUAUGUUACUCGGAAGGCCUUGGAUUCAUACAGCUGGAGCAGUACCUUCCUCAUUACACCAGUGUUUGAAAUAUAUCAUGAACGGGAUGUUGGUAACCGUCAAAGCAGAGGAAACAAUCUCCAUGGUAAAGAAUGUGACCAUACCCUUUUUGGAGGCAGAGGAUUGCACGGAUGAGAAUCUUCAUGCCUUUGAGAUUGUAAACACUGAGUGGGUACCUGAAAGCACAGUGCUAAGAAAGCCGAAGAUAUCAGCAGCAGCAAAGAUGGCCGUUCGAUGUUUCUUGGAACAUCGAAUCCCAUUCCAAUAUGACCCGAUCACGGGAAUACCAAAAAGGAUUAAGCCAAUCACAAUGAGAGCUUUUGACCAAAGAUUUGGGCUGGGAUAUAAGCCUAAGAAGGAGGAUCAUCGUUGGGCUGCCAAUAAACGAAGAGAACGAAGAAUGGCUAGAAUCGAGGGAAGGGAGCCUGAAGAAGAAGAAAUGGAAAUCCCUCCACUGAUGGUUUCUUUCCCAAAGGCAGCAUAUGUGAUGCAACCAGAUAACCGAGCAGAAGAUGAUAUUCAAAGGAUGGUAACCAUGAGCAUCAACACCUUGGAAGAUGAUAAGGAGGAAGGAAGUGGCACAAAAACAAUAGUUGAAAUAGAAGAUGAAGUGCUACCACAACUGACUGUUGAAAUGGAAGAUGAAAUGCUACCACAACUGACUGUGCAUACUCUAGAAGAACUCCCCACCAAGACCUUUGUGCGAAGGUUGGCUGAAGGUGAAAAGUUUCAAAACUGGGUGACCCAAGAAGCUCCGCUAGUAUUUAAAAUGUAAACCCCUUGUGCUUGCUUUCAUAUGCUUUUGUUUGUUUAUUUGUUUUUGUCAUUCUAGUUGAUAAUCAAGGCUCAUGAUGUCAACUAGAUUUUGUCUUUAUCCAUGAUCCCACUUUUAUCAUAAUCAAGGAGAUCAUACUUUAUCUACAUUCAUCUGUGUGUUUUUCUCUCUCUUCAAUUUUACAUCAAACAUUCUUUCGCUUUCAGGAAGCCUGAAAGCGAAUCUUCCACAACAUCACAUACAUUUAAUACCAAGAAUGAAUGGCCAAACUUUAACGAACAUGUGACCAUGAUGGAAGAAGAAGAAGGGGAUGAAAAUCAUAUCAAAGAAUUCACAAAACUAGUAGAGCAACAUGAAAAAACAUGGGAACCUGCUGCUGAAGAACUUAAAAUCAUAAAUGUAGGUUGUGAUCAGUUUAAAAAAGAAUUGAAAAUAGGGACACUGAUUACGCCUAAGCAAACGGUGGAGUUAAGUGCUUUACUACAUGAGUACUCAGAUGUUUUUGCUUGGUCUUAUAAGGAUAUGCCUGGUUUGAAUACAAAUAUCGUGGUACAUAAGAUCCCAUUAGAGGAAGGGUGUAAACCAGUCAAACAGAAGUUGAGAAGAGCACACCCGGAGACAUGGAUCAAAGUGAAAGCGGAACUUGAGAAACAGUGGAAUGCUGGAUUCCUAGAAGUUGUUACAUACCCGCAGUGGGUAUCCAACAUUGUUGUCGUACCAAAAAAGGAAGGGAAAAUUAGGGUUUGUGUGGACUUCCGGGAUUUGAACAAAGCUAGCCCUAAAGAUGAUUUUCCAUUACCUCACAUAGAUAUUUUAGUGGACAAUGCUGCCCGUAGUUCCACUUAUUCCUUUAUGGAUGGUUUCUCAGGAUACAACCAGAUAAAGAUGGCUAUAGAAGACAGGGCAAAAACGACGUUUGUCACCCCUUGGGGAACCUACUGCUACAAGGUUAUGCCGUUCGGUUUAAAGAACGCAGGUGCCACCUAUCAAAGAGCUAUGGUGACUUUAUUCCAUGAUAUGAUGCAUAAAGAAAUCGAGGUGUAUGUGGAUGAUAUGAUUGCCAAGUCAAAAGAGGGAGAAGAUCAUGUCAAGGUGUUGAGGAAGUUAUUUGAGAGAUUGAGAAAGUAUGAAUUAAGACUCAAUCCUGCAAAAUGUUCAUUUGGGGUUAAGUCCGGCAAGCUGCUGGGAUUUGUAGUCAGUGGGAAAGGUAUAGAGGUGGAUCCUGAUAAAGCAAAAGCCAUCCAAUCCAUGCCAACCCCAAAGUCAGAGAAAGAGGUGAGGGGAUUUUUGGGCAGGCUGAACUAUAUUGCCCGAUUCAUAGCCCAGUUAACUACCACAUGUGAACCUAUCUUUCGAUUGCUGAGGAAAAAGAAUCCUGGGACUUGGAAUGAGGAGUGUGAAGAGGCAUUCAAUAAAAUCAAGUGUUAUUUGCAAAAUCCACCAUUACUUGUACCUCCUACGUUAGGAAGGCCUUUACUAUUGUAUCUGACAGUAACAGAAACAGCUAUGGGAUGUGUACUUGGACAGCAUGAUGAAACCGGGAGGAAAGAAAGGGCUAUCUAUUAUCUAAGUAAAAAGUUCACUGAAUGUGAGUCUCGAUACACGGUAAUAGAAAAACUAUGUUGUGCAUUGGGAUGGGCAGCAAAACGAUUACGACAUUAUAUGUUAUAUCACACCACUUGGUUGAUUUCACAAGUGGAUCCAUUGAGGUACAUAUGUAACAAGCCCUAUCUCUCCAGCCGCAUUGCAAGGUGGCAGGUUUUGCUAUCAGAAUAUGAUAUCGUAUAUAUGACACGAAAAGCUGUGAAGGGGAGCGUGAUUGCUGACCACUUAGCUGAUAAUGCUAUUGAAGAUUACGAGCCACUGGAUUUUGAUUUUCCGGAUGAAAAUUUAUUAUCAAUAGAGAGAGAAGAAGAGAUGACAGAUUGGUGGACUAUGUUUUUUGACGGAGCAGUGAAUGUAUAUGGUAAUGGGGCCGGUGCAGUGAUAGUCUCUCCUGAUCAAAAGUUGUAUCCAGUUUCAGUUAAAUUGCAUUUUGAAUGCACCAACAAUACAGCUGAAUAUGAAGCUUGCAUUCUUGGUUUAGAAGAUGCAUUAGAGAUGAAGAUUAAAAAGCUGGAUGUAUAUGGUGACUCAAUGUUGAUUAUCUGUCAGGUGAAGGGAGAAUGGCAAACCAAGGAAGAAAAGUUAAAGCCUUACCAGGAAUACUUGUCUUCACUAUUAGGCAACUUCGAAGAGAUAAAGUUCACUCACUUGGGAAGAGAAGGGAACCAUUUUGCAGAUGCUUUGGCUACCUUAGCUGCUAUGGCCACCAUUGAUCUCGGGCAUAGGGUACAACCAGUACACAUUGACAUUAGAAAUAAUCCAGCUUACUGUUACUCCAUUGAAGAAGAAAUAGAUGGGAAGCCUUGGUAUUACGAUAUCAAAAACUUCGUGCAAAAGCAAGAAUAUCCAGAGGAAGCUUCGAAGACGGAGAGAUUAUGUAUAAAAGAUCAUUUGAUGGAACCUUGCUAAGGUGUUUAAGUGAAACAGAUGUUAGAAAGGCUUUGCAAGAGGUUCAUGAAGGGAUUUGCUCAACUCAUGCUAAUGGACAUAUGAUGGCAAGGAAAAUACAAAGGGCUGGUUAUUUCUGGAUGACAUUAGAAAAAGACUGCAUUGACUACGUUAAAACAUGUCACAAGUGCCAGGUGCAUAGUGAUAGAGUCAACGCACCUCCGACCCCUUUGUUUAAUCUGGUAUCUCCCUGGCCGUUUGCAAUGUGGGGACUUGAUGUGAUCGGGCCUGUUAACCCAAAAGCCAGCAAUGGGCACAGAUUCAUCCUUGUAGCCAUUGAUUAUUUCACGAAAUGGGUAGAAGCCUGUUCCUACGCUCAUGUGACUCAGAAGGUGGUAAAGAGGUUCAUAGAGAAAGACUUGAUUUGUCGUUAUGGGGUGCCAGAAAAGAUAGUGACUGAUAAUGCUCAGAAUUUCAAUGGCAAAAUGAUAGCAGAGCUUUGUACUAAAUGGAAGAUCAAACAUUCAAAUUCCUCACCAUAUAGGCCAAAGAUGAAUGGGGCCGUGGAAGCAGCCAAUAAGAACAUCAAGAAAAUCGUUCAAAAAAUGGUAGUCACCUAUAAAGAUUGGCACGAGAUGUUGUCAUUUGCUCUCCAUGCAUAUCGUACUACAAUAAGAACCUCGACUGGAGCAACCCCAUAUUCGUUGGUAUAUGGAAUGGAGGCAGUAAUGCCGUUGGAAGUUGACAUCCCAUCAUUAAGGGUGUUGAUAGAUUCUGAAUUACAAGAGGCUGAUUGGGCCAAGGUGAGAUAUGAGCAGUUAAACUUGAUCAGUGAAAGGAGGAUAGCCGCAAUCUGUCAUCACCAGCUUUACCAGAAAAGGAUGGCCAAGGCAUAUGACAAGAAAGUUAGACCUCGUGUGUUCCAAGAAGGAGAUCUAGUGCUGAAGAAAUUAAUGUCUCUGCCGGGAGAAGAUCGCAGCAAAUGGGCUCCAAAUUAUGAAGGUCCCUAUGUAGUAAGGAAGGCUUUCUCAGGAGGAGCUCUGAAAUUAUCCAGAAUGGAUGGAGAAGAUCUAGCUAGACCUGUGAAUUCUGACUCUGUAAAGAGAUAUUAUGUCUAAAUAUGUUCAGUUUUCCCUUGAAAUCAAUAAAGUAAAGUUUGGCCAUGAUUUCUUUGUAUAAAGAACCCUGUCAUUGCAUUAAUCUCACCAUACUCAGAUUGUGCAUCUUAAACGAACUGAUUUUGUGCAUGAUUACAAGAAAUGCAUCAUAUAGUGCUCAAAGAUGAAAUUUAAGCAGUUCCUAUUAAAGAAGUGACCAAACCGAAAUAAACCUCAAAGCUAACCCUGAGAUAAAACUUUGUCUUUACUAGCAUUAUUUGUUUUUACAUGGAUGAAUGGUUAGUUAACCAUCUCUGUAAUCAUACAUAUUUUUUGUGGGAUAAGAACAAGGUUUAUCAAACUUAACAAUGUGCGUUUUGAGAUGAGGAAAGGCCAUCUUUGUCAUCCAUUCACGUUUCUAAAUAAUUUCAUCCUUCGUAAUCCCUAUUUGAGCUGGAUCGUUUUUUUAUUAUCACAACCCUGACUAGGAUCACACCCCACACUGGGGGCAAAUAAGAGGUAUUGAGAAGAUACUAAUAGAAUCAAUAGGAAAGGGAAAGUUUCAAGACAAAGAUUAACGAUGAAAAAAAAAAAAAAAAAGAGACCGACUAGAGGGUAGAAAAUAUUGAUACUAAUAUCGAACCCAAGACUAUCCAAACAAAGCAGUGAAAAGGGAUGCUAGAAUUGCCCAUUUAAUAUUUGGUCUCUUAUUAUCAUCCAGACAAAGCAGUGAAGAUAGAUGAGGAGAUUUGGUUAUGUCUCAGUUAGCAGACACAACAAAGGCACUAAAGGCAACAUUCUAAAAAAAAAACAAAAAGAGAGAGAACAAUUACAAACUGUUGGGUUUUGGUAUCAAGAACGGAAUCGUCAAAUGACUUUCAAAGAUGAUUGAUGAAUAGUUGAUCCUAGAUCAUUAAAACCCUUAAACACUUUUUGAGACCAUGAAAUUCGUUUUUUUUUAGCCCAUACCUAUAGCCUACAUUACAAGCCGUUAAAAGUCCUUUCUAAUCAAGUGCAUGUAACUUGGUUUGAUAAACUUUGAUCUCAUGACCCACAUGGUUUGAUAUAGUAUGGGAAUUUGCUGUGCUCUAUGCAAAACAAACAAUGCUAGUAUGAGACAAUUGCUUUUAUAUAUACAACUUUUUCAAGUCUAUGCUUGAACCCUUUUCAAAAGAUUAAGCAGAAGGUCACUUUUGAAAAAAUAUAAAUAAAAAUGAAGAGCUUAACCUAAAGACAACAACAUCCUAAAACCCGAGAAAACUAGUAUUGGGAAUUGCUUAAACAAGUCUUUAGUGUGUAUGUUGACAGUACUUGUAGUCAUAAACAAGUUCAAGUUUGUUUCGUGUUGUUAAAGAUUCCUUUUCUUUAGGCAACCCUAUCCUUUUCUAUUAUGUCAGACAAAGAAAAAAAAAACAAAAAAAACAAAAAAAAACAAAAACAAAACACAAAAAAAAACAACAACAACCCUUUAUUUUGAGAAAAGACAAAAAAACAUUGGCAAAAAAGAAGGUGAUAGGGCACCUAGUGAAGAAGUGGAGAUUGUUUCUUUAAAAUGUAAUGGAUAAGAAAAAGACAGUGCAAGAAACACAUACCAACAAAUUACAAAAAAACACAAGACAAGCUCAUACAAAGGAAAGGGAACCUCAGGGACCUAUGUUUCAAUUCAGGUAAGAGGUGCAUGCAUUAGCAUUACAUUUUAGACCAUUGCAUGCACAAUUUGUUUUGUUUACUUGCUUACGGAAAAUAUCUAAGUGAAGGUCCAACGAGUUUGUGGACGCUUGACCACACUUCAUUUUCAUUCCACCUGGGUAGGUCACUCAUUACAAUGAGACAGUUUUGAGUAAGGGAUUCACCACAUCAGGUCAACUAAGCUACACAGGUUUUUUGGUUCUGGUUAGAGGGGAUUGCCGAAAGGAAUCUCAGUCUAUCCCAACCAUACAUAGGUAUUUUGGUUCUGGUUAGAGGGGAUUGCCGAAAGGAAUCUCAGUCUAUCCCAACCACACAUAGUUUUUUUUGGUUCUGGUUAGAGGGGAUUGCCGAAAGGAAUCUCAGUCUAUCCCAACCAUACACAGGAUUUUGGUUCUGGUUAGAGGGGAUUGCCGAAAGGAAUCUCAGUCUAUCCCAACCACGCAGGAUUUGGUUCUGGUUAGAGGGAUUGCCGAAAGGAAUCUCAGUCUAUCCCAACCACACACAGGAUUUUGGUUCUGGUUAGAGGGGAUUGCCGAAAGGAAUCUCAGUCUAUCCCAACCACACACAGGAUUUUGGUUCUGGUUAGAGGGGAUUGCCGAAAGGAAUCUCAGUCUAUCCCAACCACACACAGGAUUUUGGUUCUGGUUAGAGGGGAUUGCCGAAAGGAAUCUCAGUCUAUCCCAACCACACAUAGGAUUUGGUUCUGGUUAGAGGUGAUUGCCGAAAGGAAUCUCAGUCUAUCCCAACCACAACAGGAUUUUGGUUCUGGUUAGAGGGAUUGCCGAAAGGAAUCUCAGUCUAUCCCAACCACACACAGGAUUUUGGUUCUGGUUAGAGGGGAUUGCCGAAAGGAAUCUCAGUCUAUCCCAACCACACAUAGGAUUUGGUUCUGGUUAGAGGUGAUUGCCGAAAGGAAUCUCAGUCUAUCCCAACCACACACAGGAUUUUGGUUCUGGUUAGAGGGGAUUGCCGAAAGGAAUCUCAGUCUAUCCCAACCACACACAGGAUUUUGGUUCUGGUUAGAGGGGAUUGCCGAAAGGAAUCUCAGUCUAUCCCAACCACACACAGGAUUUUGGUUCUGGUUAGAGGGGAUUGCCGAAAGGAAUCUCAGUCUAUCCCAACCACACACAGGAUUUUGGUUCUGGUUAGAGGGGAUUACCGAAAGGAAUCUCAGUCUAUCCCAACCACACAUAGGAUUUUGGUUCUGGUUAGAGGUGAUUGCCGAAAGGAAUCUCAGUCUAUCCCAACCAUACGCAGGUUUUGGUUCUAGUUAGAGGGGAUUAGCGAAAGGAAUCUCAGUCUAUCUUCACCAUACACAGAGUUUUGUUUUUUAGUCAGAGAGGAUUGGUGAAAGGAAUCUCAAGAAGCCCAACCGCACAUAAUGUUUUGCUUUGAUACAAAGAAUAGCCGAAUGGGUUUUCAAGCCAGUCAAGUUGGAGGAGAGUGGUGUCGAAAAUUUGGUUUUGUCUAUCUUUAUAACACUUACUAUGCAAAAUCAUUGCUCCGUAAGUAUUAUAAAGAGGGGGCAUCUGUUGUAACUCAUUUUUGGGUCUUCACCUAAAAAAUACAAAAAUUCAAAAAAAUAUAUUAUAAAAAAUAUAACAAUGAAAAAAAAAUGUCAAGCGCCUUAAAAAUAUUCAAAAAUUGAUUAGGAUGUUCAAAAAAAUUAAAAUUAAAAUUUGACAGUAUAUCAUUGACUGAUGCGAGCCCCAUGAUAAAGAAAAUUCAAUUUGAGGAAGAAAAAUGCAAAAUUAGAAGUUUAUGGACUCAAUUAAAUUUUAUUGAAGGUUUAAUUGAAUUUAUAGAGGUUUUAAUUGCAAAAACAAUUGAUUUUGGAGUUAUUUUGGGCUUUAAUUGGAAGAAAUUAAUUUUCUGGGGUCAAAUUAUAAUUUUUGGAAGUUAAUUUGGUCAAAUCAGGGGCUUAAUUGCAUAAAAAUGAAGUUUAAUGGGCAAUUAGGGACUAAAUUGAAGAAAUCCGAGACCAAGGACGAAAUUGUAAAACGCGCGCAAUUUGAGGGCCUUCUUUGAAAUCUGACGCAUUUUGGCGCCUUUUUCUUUUAAAUGAAACGGCGCGUUUUGACCAAAACGGCGCCGUUUCAUUCACUGUUGCAAAAAAAAAAAAAAAAAAAAAAACAGAAGCCCAAAACGGCGCCGUUUUGACGGCACUGUAGGUCUUCUUCUUCCCCUGGACGCGCGAGGCAGGGGAAGAAGAAGAUUUUUCUUCUCCCUUUUCGCCUAACUUCUUUCCCUAUUUUACGCAAUAAGACGCCCACCAUUCGACGCCCACUUGCCUCCUUUUUAUCCGUUGAACGGAUAGUGGAGGGGCGGCCAACAGUGGCCGCCCCACCACCAUUCCCCCCUGUUUUUGCCUAUAAAAACAGGGGAGGACCGAAGAAAAAAAAAGAAAAAAAGAGAGGAGAAGGGAAGGAUUGACGAAGAAAGAGGUAGAGAGAGACGAGAGAAACAGAAAAAAAAAGAAAAAAAAAAGAAGGAAGAGAUUCAGCAGAGAAGAGAACAAAAACAGAGGAGAGAGAGAGAAGGAAAACCACCGGCCACCGUGCCUCCGCCGCCAGCAACACCGCCUCGACGCCACCGCAGGUACACCAUCUCGUUGCCCCGCCUCUGCCACGCUUUGUUUAUGAUCUGCUGCGCCUUCAUGCAGAACGUGAAUUAAUUCACGUUCUGCAAAUAACGAAGGGCUGGUUACUGUGCUGAUGCACAGUAACCAGCCCGUUUGGGCCUGGGCUGGGCCGUCGGCCCAGCCCAUGUAAAUAGGCUUGGUCGGCCCGGCCCAUGCAUUUGGGCUGGGUCCGGCCCAUUUUUAUUUUUUUCUUUUAUUUUUUUUAUUUUUUUAUUUUUUGUUUGUUAUAAUUUAUUUAUAUUUAUUUUUUAAAUAUCGUCUUUAUUUUACAUCGUAAAAAUAUAAAUCCGGUAUUAAAAUACCCCGUUUUCGUCCCGUGGUACUGUUCACCCGACCAUUAAUUUACAAAAUCAUCAAAAAUAUUUUUUUUCAUUUAUAAUUUUUCCGCAUAGUUUUUAUGUCAUUUGGAUUAAUAUCACACAAUAUUUUUAUGUCGUAAAAUACAAAUCCGGUACUGAAAUACCCGGUUUUCGACUUUCAAGAAUUCAAAAACAAAUUAACAAAAAAAAUGUUUUUGUGCAUACGGCCAAAUGUCUCAAAAAAAAAAAUCAUUUUGUAUUUUUCAUACAAAAAAAAAAACAAUGUUUUAGCAUGCAUUUUGACUUUAAUAACCAGUUUAUUAAAGUCAAGAGAAUAUUGGCCAAAAUUUCAAAAACAACAAAAAAAUUUAUUUUGUUUAUCUUUUAAUAUCCGGGGUAUGACAUUAUACGUAAUACAUAUUCCAGAUAUUUAAUUUAUUAUUAUAUUUUUUUAAUAGAACUUGGGAUAUGACAUUACAUGUAAUGCGUAUUCCGAACAAUAAUAAUAAAAAAAAACCACAAACACGACCUUAGAUUUUAUCAGACAUUAAAACAAUGCAGCCUACCUUAGGUAGGGCGUAGUUGGGGUGCUAAUACCUUCCCUUUACGCAACCAGUCUCCGUACCCGAUCUCUAAAGACCAGUUAAGGUUCCUAGUAACCAGAAUACUAGGUGGCGACUCCCAGUCCAUUUUUUUUUACAUAUAGAGACAAGAAUUCCUUGUCUCUCCUUAUGUUCCAGGAAUAAAUAUUCCGAUUUUUCCUUGAGGGUGGACGAUCGCCAUCGCCGCGGCGCCGCACACGUGUGACACUCCUUAUGCUCCACCUCCUAGAAGAAAUUUUGAGGAAACAUUGCAUGAAUUCAUUGAAAAGCAAGAGAUAAUCAACAGUCAACUUGCUCAAGGCAUGACAGAUUUUAAAGAUACUCUUGCAAAGUUAACAUCUGCUCUCAUUUUUCAAGAGAAAGGUAAGUUUCCAUCUCAACCACAACAAUAUCCAAAAAGGCAAUACAAUGCAAAUGCAAGUAGUUCUGGAAGUCAACACAUGGAUCAAGUCAAAUCAAUCAUCACUCUUCGUAGUGGUAAGGUUAUUGAAAAACCCACUCUUGAACCUAGUAAGAAAGAUGAUGAGUUAAUCUCUAAAGGUAAGGAAGGGGUUAAAUCUGAACAUUGUAAAGAAAAGACUAAUUUUCCGUCAGCACUUCCAUUUCCUCAUGCCAUGACCAAACAAAGAAAAGUCAAUCACAAUUCUAAAAUCCUUGAAACUUUCAAACAAGUAAGGAUCAAUAUACCUUUGUUGGAUGCUAUUAAAGAGGUAACUUUCUAUGCUAAAUUUUUGAAAGAUCUAUGCACUAUAAAGAUAAAACUAAAUGUGAAAAAGAAAACAUUUUUAGCCGAACAAGUAAGUGCUAUUCUUCAUAACAAUAAUGCUUUGAAAUAUAAGGACCCUGGUUGUCCUACAAUUUCUUGCUUUAUUGGAGAACAUAAAAUUGAAAGAGCUUUACUUGAUCUUGGAGCUAGUGUGAAUUUACUUCCAUAUUCGGUUUUUCAAAGUCUCAAUCUAGGUGAGUUGAAACCAACUUCUGUAAGUCUUUUACUUGCUGAUAGAUAUGUAAAAGUACCUAGAGGAAUAGUUGAGGAUGUGUUAGUAUAAGUUGAUAAAUUCAUUUACCCUAUAGAUUUUGUUGUCUUGGAUACACAACAUGUUGAAGCAUAUAAUUCAAUUCCUGUUAUUUUAGGACGUCCAUUUCUUGCAACUUCUAAUGCAUUGAUUAAUUAUAGAAAUGGACUGAUGAAGCUAUCAGUUGAAAACAUGACAUUGAAGAUGAAUAUUUUCAAUAUUUGCAAGAAACCUGGAGAUGAUAAUGAUUUACAAGAAGUGGACUUUAUUGAAAAAUUAGUUCAUGAUCAAUUUCAAACCACUUCUAGUGAAACUGAGAUUGAUGAACCUGACGAGUUGAAAAUGGUCUAUUUUCAGGAAGAAACGAAGGCAUGUAAUUGGAGAUCACAAAUUGAAGAAUUGCCACCACGAUCAAUUGAGUCCAUACCUUCAAGUGUUCAACCACUAAAACCUAAUUUGAAGUCGUUACCAUUCAAUCUCAAAUACUCAUUUUUGGGAGAAAAUAAAACUUUUACGGUAAUAAUCUCUUCCAAACUUAAUGCACAUCAAGAAGGUAAGUUAUUACAAACUCUGAAAAUGCACAAUAAUACAUUAGGAUGGACCAUAGCUGACAUAAAAGGAAUUAGUCCUUUGAUUUGCAUACACAUGAUUUAUUUGGAGGAAAAUGUUAAACCCUCUAGAGAAAUGCAACGAAGACUUAAUCCUAAUAUGAAAGAAAUAGUGAAAAAUGAAGUCAUUAAGCUUCUAGAUAAUGGAUUCAUUUAUCCUAUUUCUGACAGCAAAUGGGUAAGUCCUACCUAAGUUGUACCCAAAAAGUCUGGAGUCACUGUGAUAACAAAUGAGAAAAAUGAGUUAAUUCCAACUCGGACUAUUACUAGUUGGCGCAUGUGCAUUGACUAUAGAAAACUUAAUUCAAUGACUAGAAAAGAUAAUUUCCCUUACCUUUCAUGGAUCAAAUCCUAGAAAGAGUUGCAAAUCAUGAAUUUUACUGUUUCCUAGAUGGCUAUUUAGGUUACAACCAAAUUGAAAUUGCAUUGGAAGAUCAAGAGAAGUUUCACAUGUCCAUUUGGUACUUUUGCAUAUCAAAGAAUGCUUUUUGGAUUAUGUAAUGCACCAGCCACAUUUCAAAGAUGCAUGCUUAGCAUAUUCAGUGAUAUAGUUGAACGUUUUCGUGUGAUUUUUAUGGAUGAUUUUUUUGUUUUUGGUGAUUCAUUUGAUGAUUGUUUAACCAACUUGGAAAAGGUUUUGAACAUGUGUGAAGAGAAGAAUCUUGUACUGAAUUGGGAAAAAUGUCACUUUAUGGUAACAAACAACAUUGUACUUGCUCUCUCUCUUUAUAUAUAUUUUUUGUAAUUCUUAAGUUUUGCUUUCAUUAAUAUCUUGUUUAUGCUUUUCAUUUCCUUUCCUUUAUUUAGUUAACUUGUAUCUUGUUUAUGUUCUUAUUUUGUUUAUUUAUGUUUCUCUCUUCAUUAUGUUUAGCUAAGAUUAUUAUGUCAAGGUGAAAAUGUUACACUAAUGGUGUAAGAAUAAGUAUGGUGUAAACUCAACAUGGACCUUAAUGUUUAAUAUUAACAUGUCUUAUCUUUUUAUCUUACUAAUUCUUAAUAUCUUGCUUGUUAAAUGGUUAAUCUAGAUUGUGCUGUAUAACACUUGGUACAAGAAAUGCUUGGCACUCUUAUAGCCUAACCGUAUGGUAUUACCUACACCUAUGCUAUGAAUGGAACUUGAUUUGUUGUUAACAUAAGUUAGCAUCAUGAAUUUCUGAUAAUAUUUAAAAGUUUGGUGUUACGUAAAUAAGAUAAUUAAUAUGAUCAUGUUAUCAAUUUAUAAUGAGCUAUUAAAGACAAAUCAUCCGAUUGGAACCUCUUUUGUGUGUGGUUUCCAGUUGGGUAAUAAGAGUUUAUACUAUACUUGUUUGAAAUACCAUUAGUGGAUCUUCUAACCUUGACAUUUGUUUUUAUUAUUGUUUGAUCCUUACAUUAAUCCAUCUGAAAGUUCUCAUCAACUUCUUUAUUAUUAUUGUUGUUGUUGUAUUAUUAUUAUUAUUGUUUAUAAUUUAUAUAAUUAACCUCCCUAUGGUUCGACCCCGGUCUUGCCGGGUUAUUUAUUACUUUGACACUCCUGCACUUGGGAGAAGACAUCAAUUAUUUGGUCGUGUCAAUGAGGUUAUCGAACUGCAAUAUCAUAGCGUGUAGAAUAAAGUGUUUUUAGUCAAAUGUUAUUGGUAUGACACAAUUGACAGAGGAAUCAUAGUAGAUCCUCAAUAUGGUCUCGUUAAAAUCAACUCAAAAUCUAGACACCGCAAUGUAAACGAUGUCUUUCUUUUCGCAAAGCAAUGCCAACAAGUUUAUUACACAUACACCCCUUCCUUUAGAAAGGAUCGAUCAUGAGUUGAUUGGUUAUCCAUUUUAAAAACAAAACCAAGGGGUCGUGUCGAGGUUGCUUAGGAUGAGAACGAAGACACAAGUGUGAUAGAUGAAGUCUUUCAAGCUAGUGAGUUGAUUGAACCAUACCGAGUUGCUUCUUUGAUUGAUUUAGAAGAAAAUUUGAAUUUUCGUGUUUUCAACGAUAGUCUUAUUGAUGUUGACGUAGAGGAGUUCAAUGUUGUUUUGAGCUCUAUAGAACAUGAUAACCACAUUGAAUAGUGCGAUAAAGCUGAUGAUAACAAUUCAAUUGAGGAUGAAGAUGAAAAUUCUGACUAAAUAUGCUGUAAAACCUUAUUUUUAUAAUAUAAUAUUAAGGAUGAUAUUUUGGAACAUGAAAUAUUUAUUCUUCUUUAAUUGUCAUCUCUUGUUAUUGCGUUGUGCGUGCUGUAAGUUUGUAAUUCAAGAUUUUGUGUAGGAGGAUAGACACCCAUAUAAACAGAAGCUGCAAAAAUAUUGAUAGUUUUACCGACAGCCUGGAACCUGUCGGUAUUAUACUGAGAGUUGAAAAAAAUUUAUAGCAUUUUGCCACAAUGACUAACGGGUAUACCGACUGACUGGUGCCCGUCAAUAUUUGACCAAGAGUUGCAAAAAAAUUACAGCCCCUACUAUACACAUCGAUGGAUAUACUGACAGAUUCAUCGACGAUUGGUGCACUUCCUGAAGUGCACGCCUGUCAGACCGCCUGGUCGGGCGGCACAAUUACCGAAGGAUUUGCUGACAGACGCGGCAAAUCCAAUGGGCUCGUGCUUUGACAUAUGUUUCCUAACGAACCAAAACAUUUUGGCAGGAUUUUCAAAAUUUUUAGAGCGGAUAUCAAUUAAUUACCGACGGAAUUUAAUGCCACCGCCCAACAAAAAUAUCAUUCACUAUUCCAUCGAUAAUUUUGUCGAAAACAUUGUAAUAUAAAACCCCCCCGCCUAGUUCAUUUUUUCUCGGCUCUUCAUUUCUAUUUCUCUUCUCCUCUCCGUUUGUUUUAAGUGUUUGCAAGAGGUUUUAUUGUUUUGCUGGUAGUUUUCAACAUAUUAAAAGGUAUGUAUUUUUCUUUUUUUAUCUUGUAUUUUUUAAUUUUUUUUUAAUUAUGAUUACUUUUUGGUGUUCUUUGUUUUGUGUAUUGUUUGGAACUAGGCCAUCGGUAUUUUUACCGAGAGUUGCAAAAUUAUUACCACCCAUGCCACAAUCACCGACGGAUAUAUUCCGUCGGUAUUUACUAUUGCUAUUACCAACAAAAUAUAUCUGUCGAUAUUUGUCAGAGAGUUUUGAAAUAUUUACUGCCAUGCCAAAAUCACCAACGGAAUAUCCAUUAGUGAUUACCGUUGAAAAUACAUACGAAAUUAUUCUGUCUAUAAUAUUCACGCGGGAUUUUUUUUGGGGCGCUUCACUGUCUGUAAUACCGUCGGUGUUCCAUCGUUGUUUUGUUUUUUUAAUUACUGAUAAAAUUGGCGACGGAAUGGGAAAUUACUGACGAUCAAAAUUCUGACGGGCGGAUGUCACUGAGGUUGUCGGUAAAAAUAUCAUUGACGGUUUAUGUGCCUCAUACCGACGGAAUGAAUCCGUCGAUAAAAUUGUUUAAUGGUUUAGUGUGAUGAAUGAUUUUAUAUUAUUCUCCAACAUGUCUUUUAAAAUGAAAGUUUCUGGAGUUUUAAAAUUUAUAUGGGUUUAAUAAUAUUUAUGUUUAGUUUUUUUUUUAAUUUACAUGGAGAAGAAUGUUGAUUGUGGUGAUAUUAAAACUUUUAUGGCUUAGUCAUUAAAACUCUGACAUCAUAAAAAAAAUCAUCUUAAGUAAAAAUUUAAGUUAAUAAAUUAAGUUUAAUAAAUGAUUUUAUAAAUAUUAUUUUUUGACAAAUAAACUUUCCAUAUAAAUAAAUGAUUUUAUAAAUAUUAUUUUUUGACAAAUAAACUUUCCAUAUAAAUAAAUGAUUUUAUAAAUAUUAUUUUUUGACAAAUAAACUUUCCAUAUAAUCAUCUUUGAGAUUUGAAUUUUAGAAGUGGUAGUUGAGAAUAAUGGAAUGUGUUGGGUUGUGCCUUAGCCAUCCUUCCUAUUUAUAUAGAGGCAGCAGAACACUGCAGUAACUAUAGGGAUUACAACAUCCUAUUUUAAUUUCAUAUUCUGAUAGAUACAUGAGUAACUGUAGGGAUUACAACAUCCUAUAUUAAUUUUCUAUUCUAAUAGAUACAUGAUAUACAUUCUAUACUAUGCCCCCUUAAGCUGAGGGUGGGGGAUCAACUCGAAGCUUGAACCAAAAAGUAGUAAAUGAUGCAACAGGAAGCGGUUUAGUGAAGACAUCGGCACAUUGAUCCCGAGAGGGAACAAAACGAAUUUAAAUUUCUUUCUUGGCAACACGGUCAUGGAAAAAGUGAUAAUCCACUUCAACAUGCUUAGUACGAGCAUGAAAGAUAGGAUUUGCUAAGAGAUAGGUAGCACCAAGAUUAUCACACCAAAUGGUAGGAGCAGAGACUAAGGGAACAUGCAAAUCUGUUAACAAGUAUUGAAGCCAAAUGACUUUAGCGGUACCAUCAGCAAGGGCUUUAUACUCAGACUCAGUAGAGGAGCGAGCAACAGUGCGUUGCUUGCCGGAUUUCCAAGAAAUCGGUGUGUGACCAAAAAAGACAAGAUAGCUGCCCGUAGACUUGCGAUCGUCAAUACUACUAGCCCAAUUUGCAUCUGUAAAGCCAUGUAGAGCAAAAGAGGAGCCUCGAGUGAUAUGGAAACCAUAAGAUGAUGUACCUUUAAGAUAGCGUAAAAUACGUUUGAUAGCGGCCCAAUGAGAAUCUGUAUGAGCAAGCAUGAACUGACAGACUCUGUUAACAGCAAAGCAUAUAUCUGGACGGGUACAGGUAAGAUAUUGAAGAGCACCCACGAUUUAAGGAAAUCGUGUAGGAUCAGAGAAUGAAUGAUCCGGUAAUAAAAUGACUUUUGAAGGGGAGACUAGAGUAUCAACUGGUUUGCAGGAAGUCAUACCAGCUCAGGUGAGGAUGUCAAGAAUAUUUUUAUGUUGACGCAGCAUUAAACCCAUACCGGUAGACUGAACUUCAAUACCCAGAAAAUAGUGAACAACACCUAAGUCACGAAGCUUGAACUCAGAGCUGAGUAACUGUAUAAGGUGAUGGAGCAUAGCAGCAUUGCUACCCGUGAGCAGAAUAUCAUCAACAUACACCAGAAGAUAAAAGAUAUUAGUACCAUCAGAUAAGAUAAACAGGGAGGUGUCAACCUUGGAAGCUCGAAAACCAAUGGAGAGCAAAAAAUCACUUAGACGAGUGUACCAUGCUCUAGGUGCCUGUUUCAAACCAUACAAUGAUUUGUGUAAUCUGCACACAUGAGAUGGAAGAGAAGAGUCAACGAAACCUAGAGGUUGUUUCAUGUAGACCUCUUUACUAAGAACACCAUUGAGGAAGACAUUAUGAAUAUCAAGCUGAUGAAUCUCCAAUUUCACGAAACCGCGAUAGAGAAAACCAAUUGGACAGUGGCCUGCUUAAUAACUAGACUGAAGGUUUCAGAAUAAUCAAUACCUUCUUGCUGGGUAAAACCUCUAGCAACAAGGCGCGCUUUAUAGCGCUCAAUACUACCAUCAACACGAUGUUUGAUCCAAUAUACCCAUCUAUUGCCAACAACGUUCAUCGAAGGAUAAAAUGGAACCAAAGACCAAAUGUGACUUUCGCGUAAAGUGGCGAUCUCAUCACUCAUAGCAUUAUGCCAAACUGCAUACCGGUCAGCAUCAGAGAAUGCAAAAGGCUCAGAAGAGGGAGAAUAUAGCACCCGUAUAGAGGUAGAAGUAGCGGCAGCGGAAGCAACCAGAUUAGUUGUCUUUGGCUGUCGCGGUCUAAAAGUCAUAGGAUGUUUGUUGUGUGCUAGUGGAGAUGUAGCGGAAGACGGUUGUAGCGAGGAGACCUGUGGCAGCUGAUAAGAAGACAAAUCAACCAUAAGUUGCAGACCAGCGAGAGAGGAUGAUAAAGAAGCAGCCUCAAGCAUAGGACUGUCAGCAGAGGAGGGGCUAAAAGCAGAGACUGAAGCUGCAGAAGUGCUGGCCAGGGAGGGCGAAGUAGAGGAGGGACUAGAAAGUUCCCCAAGACCAUGAGGAGAGGAGACCAAUUGACGAUCUGAACCUGCAUCAUAAAGGUUAGAUAAACAAGCAUGGGAUGAUGGCCAAGGGAUGGGUGGAGGUUGUGGUCAGGUGGCUGUUUGGAGUGGCAGAGCGGAGUAUUGUGGGCUGUUUGGGUGGCUGGUGAAAGUGGGUGGCGGUCGAUGGUGUAGCAAAUUUGGGAGGGUGACAGUAGCGGGUGGGGUAAGGGUUGUGGCGGAGGCCUUUGCAAUCUAUUAAGAAUUAUCAAAUGGAAACACAUGUUCAUGGAAGCGGACAUGACGGGAAAUAUAAAUACGAUGAGAUGCAAUGUCAAGACAUCGAUAACCAAGAUGUGAGGAACUAUAUCCAAAAAACACACAUGGAGAGGAAUAAAAAUCCAAUUUAUGAUUAUUAUAUGGACGGAGAAAAGGAAAAUAGAGACACCCAAAGGUACGCAAAAAAUGAUAAUCAGAAGAUGAUGAAUACUAAUGGUCUAAAAAAAUAUGGAUAGUUUUCGGUAUUCACCGCCCCAAUCAGUUUGAACAAAUUUUAUUUUUAAUGAAAAUUAACGUUCGACAAGAGUUUGAAAUUGAUGAAAAACAGAGUAAACAUCAGACUUGGCAAUGAGAGGAUAAUACCAUACAUAUUUAGUAUAAGCAUCAACAAAGAUAACAAAAUAACGAUAGCCAUCUGAAGAAAAAAGAGGAGCAGGGCCCCAUACAUCACUAAAAAUUAAUUCAAGUGGAGCAGAAGUUUUGUGACCCGUAGGUCCUAAAGACAAACGCGAUGAUUUUCCUAAAGGACAACUUUGACAUUGAAAAUUAAGACGUUUGUUGUUACAAAUGAUCUUAUUUUUCGAGAUUAACAAUUGAAAAAUACGUGAAGUAGGAUGACCUAGUCGACGAUGCCAUAAAUCGGCAGAGGCAGAAGUGCAGGGAGACCAAUAGGCUUGAGGAACUGACGUGACGGAAGACUUGGUCAGGGCAUAGAGACCAUCUUUACUCUGACCUGAGAGAAGGACUUCAUGGGUGUUGAAAUCCUUGACAUAAAACACACGAGGGUGAAAUUCAAAAUAAACAUUAUUAUCAAGACAAAAUUUCUGAACAGAGAGCAGAGGUUUCGUGAUUGCAGGAACAUGAAGAACAUUAGAUAAGGUGAAAGAACGAUGUGGUGUAUAUAUUUUUGUAUGACCAAGAUGAGAUAUAGGAAGGCCCUUACCAUCACCAACAUGCAAAUUAUCAUUACCAAGAUACGGUUCUGAAGCGGUCAAGGUGGCAAGAUCAGGUGUGAUGUGUUGAUUGGCACCGGUAUCAAUAAACCAAUUAACAGAACCGGUUGAGGAGAGAUUGCGCUGCACCAGGUUGGCAGUAGGUUGUUGGCCAUAACCUCGUUGCUGGAAUUGAGGGCAAUGGGGAGCUGUAUGACCAAAAUUAUGACACAGUUGGCACCAAGAGCCCUGCCUAUUGUCAUCAAAGGAGGAGUUUUGGAAGCUGCGGUGAUCAGGUCUAGAGCCAGCAAAUCGAUUGCCUCUGUUGUUGGACUAGUUGGGACGCCAGCCAUCGUUGAAGCGGCCCCUGCUGUGGCCAAAAUUGCCAAAAGUCUGGCGCUGCGCAAUAAGAGUAGAAGAUGGAAUCCUUGGGUGUGGGCAGCAAAGGAGCAUGUAUGGCAGCAGAAGAUUUGUGAAGAAAUUCAUGUGUGAGGAGAUGGCUGUGAAGAUCUGCAUAUGAUAAAGGUUCAGCCUUGGUAAUAAGACUGGUAACUAAGUCUUUAAACUCUCCCUAAAGACCAUGAAACACAUAUAAAUUGAAAUCUUCAAGCAAAACUGGCUGACCAGCAACGGCCAAUUCAUCAAAUAAGGCCUUCGUUUUUUGCAUAAAUUGAGUUACUAAUUCAUCACCCUGUCGAAGAUCCUGAAGAGAGCCGUGAAGUUGCAUAAUACGAGAGUUGGAGGUGGAAGCGAGAGCUCGCUCAAGAGUGCCCCAAGCUGAACAAGAACUUUGACAGCCAACAACAAGAUGCAAAACUUCCAUAGAUAGGGAGGAAAGAAAAGCACUUAGAAUUAGUUGGUCCUGUUGUUUCCAGGUUUGAAAAAGCGGAUUUACCUGAAGAGAGAUACCAUCAUGGGCAAGAACAUGUGUUGAUGGACAUGUGUUGGAGCCAUCAACAAAACCAAAAACUCCUUGGCCUAGGAGAUAAGGCAGCAUCUGCAUACGCCAAUAUAAAUAAUUGGUGUUUGUUAAUUUGAGGGAGAUGACUUGAUGAGUGUGAGAAAGGGAGAUAAUGCUUGCAGCAGUAAAGGUAGCAAACGUGGGCUGCAAGAGGAGGCGUUCACCAGCCAUGGCAGAGGAGAAUCCAGGCGGUGACGCAACAGAGGAAAGCAGAGGAGGCAUUGCAAGAGAAGAGGGCUGCACUGCCGGAGAAGAAGAAAGAUGGACUGCUGGUGCUGCAGAAUUUGAAGAUGUAUGUGGCGGUUGUUCCAUUGAAGAAGGGAGGUUGGGAGGCUGUGAAAAAAGUAGGUUUAAUUUAUUUUAGGGUUUUGUGGCUCUGAUACCAAGUUGAGAAUAAUGGAAUGUGUUGAAUGGUGCCUUAGCCAACCUUCUUAUUUAUAUAAAGGCAACAGAACACUGCAGUAACUAUAGGGAUUACAACAUCCUAUAUUAAUUUCCUAUUCUGAUAGAUACAUGAGUAACUGUAGUGAUUAUAACAUCCUAUAUUAAUUUUUUAUUCUGAUACAUUCAUGAUAUACAUUCUAUAAUAGUGGUUACUGGAAUAUUAUGUUAUGUAUAUUAAUCUGUAUUUAAAUCAUAGUUUACUUAAGACUUGAUUGGAGAGGAAUUCAAGUGGUGUUUUCGUCCUUUUUUGGUUGAAAGGCAAUGUUUCAGUCAAGUUAAUGCAUGCAUGUUCUAUAAAGCAGCAUAGGCUGGCCUGGUGGUAGGAGUGAUUGAGAUUGCGGCUGGAUUGUGUUUUUAAAAUAACUUGAAUUUUAAAUAAAAAUUUAAUUUUUUUUUAAAUACAGUUUAAAACACGUUCGCAAACUAGCUGAAUUUUCAAGAAUACAUGAUUGCUGAUUCAAACACAUGUUUAUCAUUGCGAAUUAAGGGAGAAAAAAAAAAUAAAAAGAAGAAGAAAACUAGGCUAUGCUUUGGCAAGUAGUACAGCAAGGAAGGAAACCACGCCACGCCACUAAAACCAUGCAUGGACCCAACGAUUAUCCCUUCGGCGUGAUACACGAGCAGAUACAGUAAAACGAAGAGCAAGAAACCAAGAAAAACCCUUAUCUUGAUAUAUUAUGAUAGGAUUUUCAGAUUCUUACGAGGUCCACUCGAUUUUGGACCGACAAUUAUGAGAACUUUAAAUUAAACAUGCUUGUCAUUGCCCUAUCUUUUAAUUAUAAAUCAUCUCCAAUAAAUAAUAUUUAUAUAGUAUUAUUUAUUAAGAGUAGAAUAAUACUUUCAAUUUAACAUAUAUAUACUUUAUUUAUAUUUAGAUUAAGUUUAAGUACUCAUAAUAAACAGAUUAUUGAGAAUUCUAAUCUUUUUUUUGUGUUUAUUUUUAGUUAUUUUAACAUGAUAUCAGAGCUAGUUUUAUAGAACGAGGCUUAUAAUCUUAAAUACAACUUCACAGAUCCAACUAUGUGGUGAGUUGGAUGAGGGUUUGCAGGGGGCAGCGCGCCCUUGCCAGGGUUCUGAGCAAAGCCUAAGCACUUAUAAAUAUAAGUUAAACUGAAAGUAUUAUUUUACUCUUAAUAAAUAAGACUACAUAAAUAUUAUAUAAUAUCUCCCCUCAAACUCACGAUGCAAUUAAGCCUAAGCAUUCAUAAUAAAUAGAUUAUUAAGAAUUCUAACAUUUUUUUUUAUGUUUUUUCUAAGUUAUUUUAACAAUCUCCUCGUCUUCCCGUCGCUUGUUCUUCUUAAUUGUAAUCUUCCAGUAGAAUAGAAUGAGUGUGUAAUCAAACUUUUUGUUAAAGUCUCCUACUUUCCUUCUCCUUCCCAGUAUGAGUCUGGUUUGCUCCAGGUUAGUGAUUCUAAAGAGAGCUACCAAGCAAGAAAGUAUGAGUCUGGUUUGCUCCAGGUUAGCUCUCUUUGUCUACCCUGUAAAUUCAAUUAAAAAGAAUGAACGGAAUUGUUUUUACAUAACCCUUUUUUUUUUCUUGUUUUAGUUAUAUAACAUUAAACAUAAAAGAUUUAUGAUAAAUAGAGUGCUAGACUUCUAAAUAUUUUAUAAAUAUGCUUGUUCAAAAAAAAAAUAUAUGAACUAUAAACUCAUAAACAAUCAAAUAGUAAAAAUUUCAAACAAAUAAAAUGCUAGAUUGCUUAAUAUUCUAUAAGGGUGAUCUUUAUCAUGUAGGAAGUAUAUUUUAGCCAUCUCCAACAACCAACAUCUAAUCUAAUUAAUUAUAUCAAUCAAUUGAUAAAAAAUAAUAAUAAAAGAAAAGAAAAAAGUUGGUCUUUAAUUAUUUUAAUUUGUAUUUUAUUUUUGUUUUAAUUAUGUUAUGGUGUUAUUUUGAUUAAUUAUCAAUAUAUAAUUAGUUAAAAAAAUUUACAUAUAAUUUUACGAUCUAAUUUUACAAUCCAAGUUUGUAUUGUAUUUUUCAUGUCAUGUUAAAAAAUUAUUUUUUUUACAACUUUGCCAUUAUCACUUCACUCGUGCUUUAUAUUACUUUUUAUGCCUUGUAUAAUCUAAUUGACUGUAUAUCGAUGAUGGGUCUAUAAAUACCAACAGAAUCAUGAGGUGCAUUCAAACCAUCUUCUUUUCCUCCCUGGAUUUCUUUUAUAUCCAAUUCCAAAUGAUUCUUGAGGCUCUCAUUUUGGUAUUCCUUUAUGGUUUCUGGAAAAUCUUGGCCAGAAAUAGUGAAAGCAAAAAAUCAACCAGAGCCCCUGAACCAUCCGGGGCAUGGCCAAUACUUGGUCACCUCCCUAGUCUGGUUGGCAAAGACCCAGCAUGUAAAACCCUUGGAGCCAUUGCCGAUAAAUAUGGCCCUAUUUACUCACUCAAGUUCGGCAUUCAUCGAACCCUAGUGGUCAGUAGUUGGGAAACAGUGAAGGAUUGCUUAAACACCA
rnacentral:lncRNA from 1 species